rnacentral:lncRNA from 1 species
AAAAAAAAAAAAAAAUUUGGUCAAGAAAUAUGCUAAAUUUAUAAACCCUAAAAAUUACUAAAGAAAUGGUAAAAUGUAGGAAACAUCUAUUGUUACUCAAAGAAGUUGGAUAUUCGUUGGCUCUAUUUGGAUGAGGAUGGAAGGUGGGAGUGGAGAGCAGUGAGAAAUUAUAUAUGGUUUAAAGUUUAAACCGAGAAUGGGGAGAAAGUUAAGAUGGUUUCAUCAAAUGUAACAUGACAAGAAAGGAAAGGUGCACAGAAAAGUUCUAAAUUUAACCAAUGAUAUAUAUCCACUGUGGUUUGUGUAAAAACGCAUUUGGUAGAUCGCAUAGCUAAUCUGCGAGUGAUAGUAAUACGAAGACUGAGAUAUCCGAAGAGGCUAAUUAAGAACUGAGAAACUUCCUAUAACCUAAAGAUCUGGGUCAAGAACUAUAUUGUAGAUUGAAAUUUCAAACUAUACAACUAAUGGAUGUUGUGGUGUGUAACAUAUGUAAAAGAAAAAAAAGCAAUGAAUGGGUCUACAUAGUGAAAAGCCGGAAGUUGACAAAAAGUACAACUUCUCUCUUUUUAUUGAGACAUAAGUGUUGGUUUUAAAGAGUAUGAAUCAUUAGUGAACACUCGAAUAUAUAAGAUCAAUGUUAAGUUAAUCACAUCACUGUAAAUUAUUUAAUAACGUGAAUAACAUCGAUAAAUAUUGGAUAUAUAUACUAGAGUAUGAUGUAAUUUCAAGACUCAUCAAAUUAAGAAUAUGGCGAGGGUUAUGGACUUACGUACAAGUACGUGACAUUGGUGAUUUCUUUUUUUUUUCUUGAUCAUCGGUGAUUGCUUAUUCAGAAACUGUUAAAUAGUACUAGAAUGAUUAAUUCAAUAUAGCUUAGUUGGUUACGACUGCAGAGUAUUGGUACCAUCAUUAACUCAAUGUAAAAGGCAAACAACCCCCUUCUUUUUUUUUUUUUUUUAGCUUACAAAAAAAAAAGUCAUUUCCUCCUUUGGCCACCCUAUAUUUAUAACUAAAGAGAUGUUCUUGCGGGAACGAACCCCUCAUGCCAUUCCGGUUCAGCCCUUGUAGGACCGACUUUUGAGUGUUGAUAGUUAUGAGCUAGUUGGCCAGCUGAUCCAUAUGUUGCAUUUAGUAGUUAAUUGCGGACUGAUCUGCAAACCCAAAAAGCUGAAAAUGGAUGAGACAGAUUUAAACCCUAGAAAAUAAAAUUUUCAGUUUAUUAUGUGUUUUCAGAUAAUUAGCACAUUCAAACCAAUAUUUUAUGUCAAUUUGGGAACUUUCGAUAAAAAUAAUACUGAUAGACAAAAUUAAAAAUUAAUUUAAUAAAACCAUUUCAUAUAUAGUUUUUGUCUGUUUGCUAAAAAAAAAUCAACAUAUAUAUAGUUUCAUCGUCUGUUAAGUUCUUUUAGAAAAAAAAUGCAAGAGUCUUAUGUUCAUUGACUAGACUUUGACGUAAAGUACUUCACAUUUGUGUGAAAAUAAGUAUGUUUUGAAUAUGUGAUGACUUUAAUUCCUUCUGUAUCUCAAAUUAGUGGUAGUUCUCGUUACCCGCCGAAUAAUGCUAUUUGAUAUUAAAUUAUUUGUUAGAGUGACUUAUUCUGCUGAACGAUUUUGGAUUCUGGAGUGACCAUAUAUAUAUUUCUAUCAAACAAUAUUCAUAGUCAUGUUAAAAAAAAAAACAAUAUUACUUGUAGAUUUAGAGACUAUGUUGUGUUAAGACAAAUGUAAUCGGGUCAAUGAUAUAUGGUCUAUAUUGCACCACUUCAUUAACCGGUAUAGGUAACCGCAACCCAGAUUAUAGUUUAUAUAGACUAGCUAGUCUGGUCAUAGUUGUCGCAUUAUUGAUAUGUUAGAUACCUCGUUAUUCCUUGUCAUAAUUCUAGCGAGAUUAGUAGAUCAUGAUUUUCUUAUAUAUUAAAAUUGACAAUCUGGAGAAACUCUAGAUUAUUUACAAUAUCUAAUAACCUGAAAAGUGAAAACACAUCACUAAAAUAAUGUGUGUAUAUAUUACAUCCUGGUUAUUUUGUAGGUUUAAAAUAUGUAUUAGUUAACACGUACACUGUUGGUGUACGUCUUCCUUACGUAUGUCAGGUGUUAAUUUUUAUUGAACAAUACGUUCGUUUACACCAAUUCUGAUUCUUUAGGAUAGAGCAGAAUAUAGUGAUUUCUAUAAUUUAUAUUUGGUUCGUAUCAUUUGAUAAUUGAUUGAAGACUUGCAGUAUCAAAACCAAGACAAUAUAUAUAUUAUAUAAGGUUAGAGUAUAUGUGUUAAUUAUAUAGUACUAGAAAUUUUGCCCGGGCUACGCCCGGGUUUAUGCAAAUAUCAUUAUAUUUAAUACAUAUAUAUUACACAUAUAUCUAAAUGAGAAUAUAAAUAUUAGUUUGUUUUAAGUAUGAGUGAAACACAUUUUUUUUUACUAUCUGAAUAUGUAUGGAAUGGUGAAAAUAUGUAAAAUUGAUAAAUAAUUUGAUAAAACUUAUUUUAAAUCACUAAACUUGCAUUUUUUACUUAGCUCCUAUAUUUUUUAAAUAUUCCAAUUUAUUUUGUGUGGAAAGAUUUUUUAUUGAAAAAAAAAUUGUUUAAAAUGUCAGUAUUAAAACUAAAUUGUAGAUAAUUUAUAUUUAACUAAAUAUAUAAUCUAAAUUAAUAACUAUUUUAAAGAAUAUUCUAAUUUUUAUUAUGCUGGUACGUAGCAAGGAAUAAUAUAUAUUAAACCAAAAUGCAUGACUCUUAUUUAGUUCUUAACAGUAACAUCUACAAAUGAUAAGAGUAAAAUAUAAAUAGUUGUAAAUUUAAAUUAUACAUGAAUAAAUGUAUUAUGUUCUUUCUGUUUGUAUUUCUUGAUGUUUUGUAUUUAUGCACAUAAAUUAAAAAACAUUUAGUUUGUUUCUCUAUAUAUUUUAUAAUAAGAACACCUUCACUAUCUAUCUAAUCGCAACUCAACCAUCAGAAUAUAAUAUAUAUAUAUAUUAGGAAAUAUUAAAAACCAUCAUAAAAAUAAUAAAUUUCAUAUUAAAAAUUAAAAACGGUAUAUAGUUUGAAAAAAUAUCUCUAAAACCUCAUCUAUUAGAAAAUGGAGAAAGUAAUUUUUAUUGUAUAUAUGAAUAAUUUCAGUUUAAAUAUUAUAUGAGGGCUCAAGAAAAUACAUACACUUAAUCCUUAAAAAUUGGUUAUGAAAAUGUAUAUUUCUAAGUGGCUUUAUGAAGUUUUUUAACAUUGAACUUAGUGAAUAUAAUCAACACUUGGAAUUAUAUUCAGUCGUAUAUGUAAUGUAAAUCGUAUUGUAUACAACUAUCUUUUAAGAACCCAUUAGAAAUUUAUUUUUUAUAUACAUAACGUACUGCUACUUCAGCUAAGCUUUGAAUAACUAAUUUUAAUUUGAAAUUAUCGUUCCAUCUCUAUAUUUGUAUUUUACUAAGCGCACCAUUUUGGCAAUGAAAACAAAACACACCAAACAGAAUCCUCAGGAACACACAAACCGUAGAAACUUUUUUAAUCUUCCCAUUACAAAUAUUCUUUUAGUUUCCUUCUUACAUUGUCGUCACCACUUCCAACUCUUGUGUCUUACUUCUUCUGUGGUGUAUGAAUCUUGUGACUUACUUCUUUUCAGGUGUUUAAGACAUUCCUUUCAUGGUCAACGGUUGGAGUCAAACAUACAAAUAUUAGUAUACAGUUGAACAACCAUUUCCGCUUACCCAAAACUAAUUCAAUACCUUAUCUACCCAACACUGAUUUGUCUCCAGAGCCGCAUUACAACUUCUACUCCACAGCUUGGACCUUGAAUCAGGCAAAUAAUGAUAAUCGAAUUUGACAUCAAGUUCUGGUGACAUUAUCCCCUCCAAAUUUAUUCAAUACUCAAUAAUGUGUACAUUAAGAAAAGAUUAAUGUGCAUACACAUGCGAUUUCAAAGAAAAAUAAAUUACCAGGUUUGUCUUCCUACUCUGCUGCUCGAGCUAUUACAGCCACCUCCUGUCAUAAACCCAUUUUCAGCAGUCUUCUUUGAACCACCUUCAGAGACACAUUGACCAUUGAGAUGAAUCAAAAUUGAGUACAUUACUCUAGUUUGCAGGAAAAGCUUUUUGUAACCAUGUAUAUUUAGUAGUAGUGGAGAAGCAAUAUAAUCUCCAAAUGGUGCAGAAGUGUAGGAAACUACACGUUCACAUAACAAUAGAAUCAGUCGGUGGCAAGCAAAUAAAUAAGUGGGAGGUAAAAGUUAUUCAUGAAGGAUAAAUCUAUGUUCAAGAUCUCAAAUGCUCAAACAUCCUUGACAAAUCAAACAAUUGCGUCAAAAAGAGAAGAAUUGUGUAUCAGUACAUUUCGUUCCUCUAUCAAAGCUCAUCUGUCCCUAAAAUAUUAUCACCAAGUAAGCCAGUUUACACCUUUUGUUAGUAAGUUAAAACACAUUCAAGAUAUUGAGCACAAAUAUAUGCUUGACAGAGAUUUAGAGAUUAUUAAACAUACAUUAACGUGGUAAUCAAGAGAUUAUAGUUUUUUUCUCGGCUUAAGGGGUACCCUCUUCAGCAUUGUAGAAACAUGGUGAAUAGUCUUUUUCAAGAUAAGAUUUGUUUCGCCAACUGCUAUAAGACUUUUAUUUGCUACACCAUUUAUCUAUUGUAUCAUUAAGAUCAAAUAUGCUUGUUGAAGUAAACUUUCAAGAGAUAAGAAUACAUAAACUCGUGUAGCUGUCAUACCAAUUCUCUCGUGUUGGUGCGAAGAACAUCUGUAUAAAAAAUGGUUUUCAAUAGAAUUAGAGUAAGAAGAUUACAACAAUGCCAGAUUCACUGCUCAAUUAAAAAAGAUGAGAGCUUUGCAAAACUUAUCUAAAUCUCUUUUAUGGACCACACCUUCAGGUUCGAACACGUGUAGGCGACACUUUUGCAGAUUUCUGUAAAAAUGGAAUCUCGAACCAGUUAAGAAGGUUGACAUAAGAGAAAUCAAUUUACCAUCAGGAUCGAAAAUUCUGGAAAAGAAUUAAAGCUUUAACCUUUAGGAGUGGUUGAUAACUCUCGCCGGAGACUGAGCUCUAGGAGACGCCGCUCUUGCAGGCGACUGAGACCUUGGAGACGCCACGUUUCUCUUGACAGCAACCCUUUUAAUAGACGCAUCUGCGUUGUUGUUGCUGCUUCUCUUCUCUUUAUCCGUUGCAGGAACCGAAACGAACUUGGCAGGUAUAUUGUUGUUGUUACUCGAAUUUACAGAACUGCCAAUGCCGUUAUCAGGGUUCGUCGUCUCCGAUCUUCUCUCUGGAGAUCUGCUUACUCGUCUGCUACCGCUUCCUCUCUCCGUACUCCCCGAUCGGUAGCUCUUCGAGUCCUCCCUCUCCCUGCUAGGAGUCCGUCUCUUCCGCUCCCGACGCUGCUCGGAGUCCGUCUCUUCCGCUCCCGACGCGACUCUCCGCCGCCGCGCUGCUGCUGAUGAAUCCGCCGCUCGGCUUCUUCUUCCUCUCCUCUGUCUUCCGCAACGGCUUUGUCUGCGUCGCCGUUCUUGUCGAAGUCGAAGCUCCUCUUGGAUACAGAAUACCUCUUGGUUUUCGUCGUCUUCGUCGUCUUGGAUCCGCCGCUCUGGCUUAGUCUUCGUCGUCUUGGAUCGCUCGUGGCUCCUCCGGUGUUUGAUCACGAACACUUCUUUCCUCGGGUUGUUAUUCUCUUGUAUGGUCUCUGCUUCGUUCUUGGGUGCUCAGAAUGAAUAGGCUCGGGAAAAUCAUGCCUCGACUAAAGCAGGUAUGACAUGGAAAAAUAGAGCAUUCUUAUUGGAUGAAUUAAUUUGAGGACGUGGCAACCUCACCAUUGAGUAUAUGCUGCUUUUAGUAUUGUGAUUAGAAUUGCUAUAUAUAUGAAACGACACGGACAUGUUCAAGUCUCUUGUGGACUUGUCUCUCAGCUAUUAAACAGAGAGACCACACAUAUGUUAAUGCCAAUAAUAAUUCAGAAAAUGAGCAAUCCAUGAAGAGGCAAAAAAACAUGAGUUUUCUUAUUUCCAAAGUAUAUUCUCUUUCAUUGUAAGAUGAAGCUUCAUCAGACCAGAAUCAUGUGGUUACUUGAAUCUAUACCGACCCCUGAGAAGCUAGGUUUGAAAAUAAAGAUGUUUGUACAUGUAAAAACCAUUAUAGAGUUAGAAACCUAUGAAAUCACCGUUCGCAUGUUACCAACCGGAUUCACCAUCCAUCUAUACUGUACAUGGAAAAAUUCAUAGAGGUUACAUACCAAACUAUCCGUAUCAAGUAACAUAGUAGCUUUUUAACUAUUCAUUUCUUUAACAACAUUUCAACACUUCAUCACUAAAAAUAUUUAGAAGAACCAAUAUAAAAUGUUGGUUCAUUCGAAUUUAGGCAGGACGAGUAUAUAAUAAUAAUAUAUGAAAACUCAUACUAUAUAUACACAUAGAUAGAGGGGAGACAGUCACAGAGACGAGGGCCCACACUUCUUUAACAAAGGAACUACAAGCCCGUGACCCCAAACUAGAUAUCCACCGUUAGAUUUUAUUUUACUAUGCCACAUUCUGACUCAGAUCCAACGGUCCGUAUUCCUCAAGGGUCUUUAAUAGGUGGGUCCCUUUUCUUCUUCCUCUCGCCGUACACUCUCCUUCCAGCCCCAGAGCCACCGCCCUCGCCACUUCCUCCGCCGGCGCCACCGCAAUAUAUUCGCCGGAAACUCAUUUUCUGUAGACGAGGGCGAGUAUGCUUAUUGCGUAUUCUCUCCCUCUCCCUGCCAAUCUCGCCAUCACCGCCACCAUCGCCGGCACCGUCAUCGCGUGGCAACGAACCUCCGCCGCGCCUUACGCCGUCGUGCACAUGAGCUCAAGCGCAGCUAAGGCGCGCUCCAACGCAGUGAUCUCCAGCCCCGCCGGAGUUUCCACCACCGCUCUGGCGGCUCCCGACUCGACUGCCACGUGGCGGUUACCUUCUGUGAGGCAGAGCGCGAGGAGGAUCUUGGUGACGUAUUUGGCAGUUACGAUGUUGUUGCUACGAAGGCAAGAGACGAGGCCUCACAUGAGACCCGGAGGACAAGUCGGAUGGGACGGCGGGUCGGGUACGAUGACCCGUUCGAGUAGCUGAGGAGAGAGGAGCUUGUCGGACUCGGAGACUGAUGUGAGUUGAAGCUCUGCGAUCUGGAAUGUUUCUUGGAAAGUAGCAGUGACCGGAAGAGGCGGAGGAGGAGGAGUGACGGUGGAUGGAGGAAAACGCCAUUGAGUGAAGCUUUGAGAAGUGGAGGCUGAUGAGGAUGACGAGGAGGAGGUGGUGGUAGUUUGCUUAAGGCGAGGUUGCUGGUGAGGAGAGGUAGGACUGAGAACAGACUGUGUGCAGCGGCGGAAGAAGCCACAUGAGAAGAAAGAACGCGGUGGCGCGUGGGAUUUCGGUUUCUGGUUUGCUUUCAUCAUCACAAGAGAGAUUUCAAGUGAAGUAAAGCAAAGCGCUUUCUUUAAAUAGUAAAGAAAAUAAGAAACAUUUACAGUCUAAGACACAUUUCAUCUUAUUAUUACACUCUAGGACACAUUCUACUACACACACUUUCUUCAACUAUUUCAUUCAUUCUUAACUAAAUUAAUUCUCUUUUAGUUCAAUUAUAAAGACUGGUUUUAAUAAAAAUAAUAGAAGUGGCGGGAUUCAACCACAACCAUUGAUCUGUUUUCUAUUUCGACGGCCAAGAUCUUUUUUUCAUAGAUCUGGAUUAGACAUAUAUCUAUCUGAAACCUAAUCCAUUAAAUCAACAAAGCUAAAUCUAUCAUCUUCAUCAUCUUCGUGGCUUUUAAUUUUUCUUCUCUAGCAAAGGUUUUUCUUUUUGUUUAGUAAAGAGAUGCAACAAAUUAUUUCUCUCACAAAAAUGAUUUGAGUUUGGAGUGUGCAAUGUCGACAACGACGGAGACAUCGAUAUAGACGACGGCGAAAAUGUAGACAACAACACAAACAACAUCGAUGAUGGAAACAUCAACAUAGAUGAAGAUGGAAACGUAGUCCACAUCAAUCUAGAUGACAAGCAAACCCCAAGGCAUCUCCUCCUUCUUGCUCUGUUGCGAUCCUUUCUUGAUUUCAUGUUCUGCCCGUGACAAAAGAUCUCUCCGGUGAACCCUUUUGAUUAUGUACCAUCUAAAUAUCUGUUAUGUUGCAUCUGUUCCAAAGGACGAAGACGAUCUCCUUUCAUCAAAGUAAUUUUCUUUUUAUGUUUAUUUCUAUUGGAUAAGAAAUUUUGACAAAAAAAAAUUAGCUGAAAGAAUCUUUUUCUUCUUGUUAAUAGAAAAUGAUUUUUGUUCAUGAUUAUGUAUGCGAUGAAUUUUGUAUGGAGGAGAUUAAGAAAUGGAUGUAUUUUUUCUUGUUAAUGGAAAAUGAUUUUUAUUCUUGGUCAUCAUAGGAACAAGACUAUCCACAACCCAUGUCUUCUUGCUUUUUUGUUGUACACAUGGAAUUUGCACUUUUGUUAGUGAAUAUUAUAAUGUUGAAGUUUAGAAAAAGUUUAUAACAUGUUAGAGUCUUGUUAUGUUAGAGUCUUGUGUACAUAAUUUUAUGAGUUUUUAAUAUGUGUACACAUGUACACUAUAACUUCUAAGUACAUAUGGACAUCAAAUAUGUGUAUUGUUUUACCAUGACUAUAAAAUAUGUGUAUUCUAAGUACAUAUGGACAUCAAAUAUGUGUAUUGUUUUACCAUGACUAUAAAAUAUGUGUAUUCUAAGUACAUAUGGACAUCAAAUAUGUGUAUUGUUCUCACGAAUAUCUAUUCCAUUCAUCCAACACAAAAUACAUCUAGUAAUACUACAUACAACUAUCUAACAUAAUGCAAUCAAAUUUUUGAAGUCAUAAAAAUACAUAUUUAUGGCUAUAUUGUACUCUACGGGUUCUUGAUUUCUAAUGUCCAUAUGUACACACUCUUUCUAUUGUCCAUAUAUGUACACACUUUUCUAAUGUCCAUAUGUACACACUCCCUUGUGUACACUUAUUUCACUCAUUAUACAGAUGGUUGGUUUAAACAAUAUACGUUCACCCCAUCAAUGAAAAAUGUGAUCUAAUUUAUAAUAAUGUUUUAAAUGCUUCUCAAUGUAUAAAGUAUUCGAAUAAAAAAUAAAAAAUGAAUUUGCAAUGGAGUAGAUUGGUAUUACUAUAUUGUUGAAAAGUUUACAUUUUUGUGUAUAUGUGAAUAUCAUUACAAUAGUGUACACAUGGAUAUUGUUCAUAUGUACCGGCUCUAUACUCUCCAACCCUCUUCCUUCUCCUCCCCACACUCCAUCAUCGGUAGCAUAGUCAGCUGCAACCAAAAAUACACAACCAAAAAACAAAAUCAAUAAGCAUCUCAGAUUGUGUACACAUGUACAACACAAAUAUCAUUUACGCUCGUGUUCAUUUAAAAAAAUACCUACAUUUCCGAACUUGUACACAAGUACAACUUCGUUGCCCAUUGUACACAUGUACACCACAUAUUCAAGUGUACAACCUAAAACCUGCGUACACAUGUUCACCUACUAACUUGAGGAUCAUGCUCAGCAUCUAACACGUCGGCCAAUGACACAAAAUCCUCAUUCCUCUCAUUAAUUGCUUCUUCCUCCGGUUUUGUGACCUCUGUAAGACAACAACAAACUUAGCAAAAUCGAAAACAAAUUGAAAUUGUUCCCUAAACCCAAGCCCUAAAUCUGUGUAGAUCGAGAAACCAAAAAAAAAAUCACCUUUGAUCUCACCGCAGUUAACUCUCGUCCAAAGAAAUCACCUUUUGCUUUCUCCUUUGUUGCUCGCUCCACCGUGUAAAGGUCAUGGUGCCGCCUCUGCAACAUGACCACCCGUUUCUCGAAGCGAACUAAACUGUCCAAAAAAAAACAUAAAACUUUACCCACCAUCGUCUACAUCUUUUUCCGGUCGCUUCCGCUUCGUUGGCAUCGCCAAGUAUCCCCGUCGUCUCUCCUCUGUAGUUAACCGUCGGGGAUUUGGAAAAUUAGGUCUAUCAAUUGGGGAAAGUGAACGAUUACAGUUUUGGAAGCCUCUCGUUUAUAGUUUCACCUUUUCACGGGUCCAAGGUGAAAAAAUAAACCACAAAAAACUGCUCACUUAGAAUCCACCAAUCACCGUUGCCCCAUUUCGAAUUUCGAAACCGCAAACCAGAGUAACCAGAAAUGUUUGUCGAGUUACGAAAAUACCCACGCCUAGUUUACCUUUUUUGAGGGCAUACACGACUUUGGCCACAACAAAGUAUGUUAGGAGCAAUAAGUGUUCUUUCAUGUAAUAAAUUGUCAACAAGUGUCUAUAUAUGAAAAUCACUCAGAAAAUAAUUGGUUCGCACCAAAUUUGUCGGGCGUUAUAUACUUGUACUCUCCCUAAUUACUCUCAUAAAUUUUAAUCACGUGACUACUAAUUAAGUUUUUUUUUUUUGAAAAAAUGUCUACUAUUAAGUUGAAGGUGAUGAUUAAACUUUUUUACGUAGAAUAUGCUGUAAGCUAAACUAUAUUGUAACGUUAAAGAAGAGGAUCCAUAAACUUCAACAUUUCAGAAGGUUAAGCACAAAACUCUAGAAUGUAGCAAAAGGUUACAAGCAAGAGUUUAUAAAGUACUCAGUUUCCAAAGCCUAACAUUAAGAAUCAAUUAUUCUAGGAGUGCAAAACAAAAAUCAUAUACAUUCUACACACAGUGAAAACGAAACCUUAAAAGGAUCCAGUCACUUCAAUUUUUCGCUUAGUUCCUUCUUCUCUGAAAGGAAUCAAGUGAUGUAUAUAGCUGCAACGAGGGCUACAAUCGUAAUCAAGAGAAGUGCGUAGCUGAAAUCGUCUGUCAGCGAGUCGUAGGUCUUUGAAAGAGCAAGCAAGCCUUGUGUAGAAGAGAUCUACUUCAUAGGCAAAGACGUGUGUUGUUGACUCUAGCUUGGCUGGAGCUGUUACUAUGCCUCUUAGACCCUCUACUUUGAGGGAGUGUGUGACGUAUGACUGUGAAAUAAGACAAAGCGCAUUACAAUCACACAAACUAGGACCACGCACAGAAACCAAACCAAGGAUUGCCCCACUCCUAACAAAAAUAUGAACAAUGGUAUGAGUGGAACCUGAGGAAUGAUGGGUAAUGAAUCUGCGAGAGGGAUGAUUCCUUUUCUUUCUCAGCUUGCGAGGGGUUAAGUGUCCAGCGUGGAUCCACAAAUCGUUUACCAAGUGCCAAUAUCUGAUCAUUCAUUCAAAGUAUCAAUUUUUCCAAUACAUGGAGGUAUUUGUAUAUAUGAUGUGUAAUCUACAAACCUGAUCACCGAUGGUACCAAUGAGAUGCUGCUUUGAAGUUAUACCCUUUGCAGUUGAUGUUACUGCGAUGGUUUUCACGGACUGAAGAAAGAAGUAUGACUGUGACUUAGUGAACACCUCUGUUCUAGAGUAUGAAGAGAUUGGUGCUGUUAGAUUGUGCUUUCCCAAAACGAGUUUCCAUACAUUUUUGUUCUCCUGCGAAUAAAGUUGCACUGAAUCUCACUAAACCCAGCUUUAGUUAAGCUGUCUCUCGUCGUCAGGGAAUCCAUGGCGUAAUGCCUUUUUUUUAAGUUCCUGUGAGAGCUUCUGAAGCUCGUCCAUUCUCCAUAAACUGACCAAAACAGGUUCUUCUUUUUUCGUGAAUAAAAGACAGAGAAUGGUGACUAUUUGAUGAAGGCAGAGACUUGGUCAUUAAUAAAAAAAAAAUUAUAGUUUGAGAAGCUGAGAAACAUGAGAUAGAAAGAAAAAACCCUUGUCCCCAAAGAUUGACUGAAGCUCUGUUACCAUACCAUGUAAAUAAACCUUAAACCUAGAAAGAUUAUAACUUUGUAAACAUUUAUUGAAAUAAAAAGUAGCUCAAAAAGCUCUAUUUAAGUAAAGAAAUUAAAGAGAGUGAAAGCUUAGAUUGUCACAAAGAUAAGGAGGUUUCAGAUUGAUUCAUAAAGAUGAAAGGAAGGCUACUUGAAGCAAAAGCCAAAGUUACAUUCACACACAUAAAACAUAUAUAUUUAUACUAGGUGAUUUUCCUGUACUUAUGCACGUGUAUAAAUAUUUACAAAAUAAAUGUAUUAUAAAAUUAAUAAUUGUUUAAUUUUAAAUUUAAUUUUUUAUAAUUAAUAUCUAUGAUUUAUUUUGAAUAAUAUUAUAUUAUUUUAGUUAGAUAUGUAAAUAUAUAAUAUCUAGUCAAUUUGGUUAUUAUUUGUGUAUUUUUAAUUGUAUUUACUUCUCCAAGUCUAAAUAAAGUUUUUUUUUUUACAUUUAGACUUUUGAUUUUGGCCUUAAAAUUUUAGAUUAUUUAAGUUAUUCAUUUUGUGGGUUAUAUUUUAGAUUACUUUUUUUGAUUCUUGUUAAACUAAAUAUGAUUAGUUUUUUUUAUUGCAUUACUUCAGUUCUUCAUCUUAAAUAUGUAUAUAUACUUUCAUAAAUUAUUUUGUAUAAUUACACAUAUGUGGAUUAGUAGAAAUUAUAGUAGAAAAACUGAAAUGAUGAUAAGUACGAAGGUUUAUAAACUAUCAAUAUUUUCAAAAUAUUUUUGUUUUUGGAAAAUUUGAAGUAACUUUAUACUUUAGAUGUAUAAAAUAUAAAUUACUAAAUCUUAACCAUAAAAUUCAUAUUUGUUUAUGUAUUCUUAUUAAAGGCAUAUUAUGUUGUAUGAAUAUAUAAAAUUUGAAAAUGAAAAUAUCAUGUCUUACAUAAUUUUUACUGGUAUAUUAGGUUUGAUUAAAGUUUGAAGAUUUUUUUAUUUAUGUAGUUUGAUAAAAAAAUAUAGAAAAAUUAAAUCAAAACAAAAAAAUAAACAAAAAAAGCAUGUCAAAAUGAGUAAACAUCUCAACCGUAGCAAUUAUAAAAUAUUUUUUGUUAAUCAAUGAAAUUUAAGUAUAUGUUAUUAAAUCUAAAAUUAAAAAGUUAGUUGUGAUUAAUUAUUAAAAUAGUUUGUAAUAAUGAUAAUUUUAUAUAAUAUUUUAAUUCAUUAAGGAUAUUUAUGUAAUUAAUCAUUAUGAUAAUUAACGUGAGUGCGAUACGUAGAAAACUGACUUCUUAAAUAAUGUUAUAGAACAAAAAAAAGUAUGUAAAAAUGAGUAAACAUCUCAAUAGUAGCAAUUAUAAAAUAUUUUUAGUUCAUCAGUGACAUUUUAGUAUAUGCUAUUUAAAUUACUCUUUGUGAUGAUAUGAGAAAAGAGACUGAUAUAAAUACAUAUUUUAUUAAAUUUAAAAUAUACUUUAUGUUGUUUAAUAUUAUGUUUCAAAUAAAUAAUUAAAUUUUUUAACAUUAAUUUUUUUUUGUGAACUUUCCUUUUUAUGAACCAACAUUAUAUAUAAAAUAUAUAUUUGUAAAAUAUAUUCUCUUUNNNNNNNNNNNNNNNNNNNNNNNNNNNNNNNNNNNNNNNNNNNNNNNNNNNNUCUUUCCCUUUUUGAAAAUAUAAUAUUCGUUUUUAUUAUAUAACUAUUUCGGUUUUGUUGUAUAUUUUAUUUGGAAAAUAUAAAAAGGAAAAUAAAAUUAAAAAGUUAAUUGUCAUAAAUUAUUAACUAUUUUGUAAUAAUGAUAAUUAUAUAUACUAUGUUAAUUCAUUAAGGAUAUCUUUGUAAUUAACCAUUGUCAGAAUUAACGUAAGUGCGACACGUAUGAAACUAACUUCUCAAAUAAUGUCAUAUAUAUAUUUGUAUAUAUGUGUCUAUAAUAGUUACAUGGUUUAUAAGAACUUAGGUUUAAAUAUAGUUGAAGAUGAAAGCCAUUACUUUCCCCGCGUUCUGCUACUUUUCUGACAAUCUCCUGCAUUCCACCAAUAGUACGAGGUUGCCGUUCAGCUACAGGGACGCCCUUCUCACGGAGAUGAUGAAGAACCUCCUCCGACAAGAACCGUUAGAAUCAUUCCAACAACUAAUAAGACCAGGAGAAGCACAAAGACAAAUCAAUUGCUAAUACAAAAUAUCGCAUUUAAAAAUAAUGUUUAUUUAUAUUUUAUUAAUGUUAUUUUAUAUUUUAUUAUUUUUUACUUACAAUUUUAUUAAUUUUUACUUAUAAUUUUAUUAAGUUAAUAUAUAAACAUAUUUUUUAUUUAUUUGAUAAUAAUAAUAAUAAUAAUAAUAAUAAUAAUAAUAAUAAUAAUCAUAAAAACAUUAGUAUUGUUUAUAUAACUUUUAUCAGUAAAUAUAUUAUGUUCUCUCGUACUAUAUUUCCUAAGCAAUGGUUUAUGUGGUUUGUUUUGGAUCUACUUUCGCUGUGGUUUACUUUCUUUAUAGAUAAAUUAUAAAAUAAAAAAUAGUGUUGAGGAUAUUUAUCAGGAAAAUUAAGACUUUGUGAGGACGUGAAUGCCUUUUGUUGACAAGGGGUGUUAUUAACUAAUUUGGCCAAAAAAAAACUAAUUUGGCCAUCGGCAUUACUACAUGGCAGGUGACAAGAUAUGAAAUUUUUUAUCGAUCCAUAAAACGAACUCCAUAGUUAAUAACUAACACAUUUAACCAUAUUUAAUAUGUAUUUUUAAUGCCAAUUGGACUAGUAUUAAACAAAAAGGACAAUUAGACCCCAAAGUAAAUAUUAUAUAUUUUAAAGCAUAUGAAAAUUAAACUAAUAAUAUUAAAACAAACAAUUAAUUGAAAUCUACGCAAAUUAAUGUGUAUUUGACAUUUCUUUUAAAAUAUCUGAAUAGAUUAAUGUUUUUAUCGACUAAAGUAAAGUAGACUCGUAAAAAAAUACAAAAAUAUAUUUUUAAUUCAACAUGGGUUUCAAUAGCUCCAUGGGACGUUCUUCAACAGCUACGGCCUUCACACGGAAUUGAUGGCCCAGCAUGCAGACUCCGAAAACGACUAAGAUGUGACGAUCACCCAAAUAACCACGACGAGAAGAAGCGCAAAAACAUUUUUGGGGAGAUCAGGAAUUUCAGAACCCAUUUAGUUUCUUUGUGUGUGUGUUUCUAUAGUUCUGUCACAUCCUUUAAAUUUAAGUAGGAGGAUUCUCUUUUUGAAUAAUGUUACUUUAUUAACAUACAAAACAGGUAAAUGAGUUACAUUGAUACCAAUUUCACUUUUUCUUAAGCUGAAACUUACUCUAGUUUGCACAUUUCUAAAAUUUUAGGAAGAAGCGGCGGCGGCGUAUCUCAAUGUUUAUUAUGUAUCAAUUUUAUAGGAAGAAACGGAGUACCUCAACAUCAUCUAUUUGUCACAUUAAACACACUAAGAUCUGAGAAAAAAGUGUCAUGCAUUUUAGUUGGACAAUGAAAUUAAUAAAGGGUACUGUUAAAUGUAUAUACAUAUGGAGUUUAUAAAAGUUAAUUGUGUCUCACUCAACUCAAGAUGAAGUCCCUGAAUUGUUUUUUUUUUCUUUCAAAAUUUGCUAAACAUUUUAUUAUAUUUUACUAAUUUUCCAUAAAAUAUUUUUUUUCUUUUUCCUUUGUUUUUACUACCUAAAACUUAUUUUAUUUUCUACAGUUGAUUUUCUUUUCUUCAUUAUUAUAUAUCAGAUUUUUAAAAUAAAAUUUCUAGUUCAUUUAAAUUUACUUUAACAAUUACUUUAAUAAUUUGUAUUUAUAUCUUUUAAUAACAGAGUAAAUUAACAACUAAAGAAAAUAAAUAUUUUGUAAUAAACCUAUUAUGUUCAGUAUGUAAUUUUUUAAUAUUACUUAAAAUAAAUAUUAAUGUUAUGAAAAUUUGUUUACCUCUUUUAGUUGACCUUAUUCUUGUAGAAAGUAAGAUUUAUAAAAUUUAAGAACUAGUAUAAUUUAAUAAUUAAUAUUACAUAAUAGUUGAUCUUUAAAAUUUAAUACAUUCAGUCAGCACUUAGAGCAUCUCCAAAAUAAACUCUAUAACUUCAAAUAUAGAGUUUUUUUUUCUCCAAAAAGGAACUUCUAAACUUUAAUUUAGAGUUUUAAGGAAUAAAGCUCCAUAUUUGAUGUUUCACUACUCAAAACUCUAAAUUUGAAGUUUCAUCUUUUUAUUUACAUUUUGGUCAUUAUAGUUAAUUAUACAUCACAUUUAUGAUUCUUAUGUAUUUUGUCAUUUAUCAUUUUAAUCCUUAAAACUUUUAUACAUCAUCAAUAUUUCAAAUUUAUUUUUAUAAAUUCAAAUUUUACACAUAAAAUUAAACAAAAAUUUUAAAAUAAGAUUUAUAAUAUUUUAAAACUAGAAUUAGACAACAAGAAUAUUACAAAAAAAAACUUAAUAAUUUUUUAAAAAAAAAAAUACAUGAAGACAUAAUUAUUACGCAAAAUUAAAUAUUACAACAACACUAGUAAUAAAUUUGCUCUGAAACUUUUAAAAUAUUGUCUAAAUAUUUGAUGGACUAUAAAUGCGCGAUGGUCAAUAUUAGUUUACUUUUGUUUGAACACAAUAAAAUACGAAAGACUGAACAGACAAAAAAGAGACAAAUGUAUUGGUCAAUUGAAAACCCAGAGAGAGAGAGAGAGACAAAAAAAAAACGAGCAACUACACAUUGAAUUUUUAUGAUGGAAACCACAUUGCUGACGAAUAUGUCAAUGAAUUGUUCAAAAUUGGCAAUAAAACCUUAUCUUAAAGAUUAAAUGUGUGAUUAUGAGCUAUGAAUAAUAAACUCAGGGACUAUGAAUCCUUAUUCAUAAUGUUUAUAGAUUAUUAAGCUGAUCAAUAAUAGGCUAAACAUUCCUUACAUGCACCAGUCGGUACCUAUUUGAGGUGGAUUUUCUCAUAAAAGUAAAUGUCUUGUUGGUAAAUAUAAUCAGGUAGGGGUCCAAUACGGCUGCCAAAUUUGAUCAUUUGACAUAUCUCCGCAGCCUCGAAUAAAAUAAUUUUCUUUUUGAAUUGUCUCUGUAUACAAUUAUUGAUUAAUGUUUGUUUUCGACAUCUUUCUGCAUCCAAUUAUAUAAAAGGAAAGAGACUCAUCUAUAAACAUUUUUUGUCAUCACGACUUAAGAGAAUCAAUUUAUUUAACAAUUCAGAAUAUUCCAUUGAACCAAAGUCUGCAAAAGCCUUAUACUUAAUUAUUUUGUAGGGGUUAUUGGUUGUUGUAUUUUAAUGGAUUUGAAAAUCCGAACUAUAUAUAGUGUUAGUGGUUAUGUGAUUUUCAAAUCUGUAUUAAAAUCAGGUGUUAUUGGUUUAAUGAUUCAUAAAUUCUAUAUCAAAUCAAAUGUUAUUCAAUCAUACGGAUUUACUAAUAUAUUUGAUUUUAUAAUGGAUUUGAAUAGAUUUGUUUGGAUUUUUUAGUUAAAAAUACAAAGACUAAAAUCCGACGGAAAACCUCCGGAUUUGCAUAUUUUACUUGGAUUUAUAAAUACUAUACGGAUUUCUAAAUCAAUCAAAAUAUAUAAACCAAUAACACUCUUGUUCUUUUAUCCAUUGGAAAUAGAUCUAUAUCAAGGACCCAUCAACUUGAUUUAUUUGUAAGAUAGUGCGUACUUAUCUAACGGACCACACUACUUCUAUCUUACAUUCUCAUUCUAUAUUAUUUACUUGAAAAAAAAACUACAGCUUAAAAAGUUUAGUCACAUUAGAAGAAGUUCAGAACCUGUGAAAAACAUCAUAUAUUUAAGGUUAUCCAUUUCGACUUUGCCUAUGAUCAUUUGACAUGUCUAUAUAUUUCUUGUACUAUCAACUUGUGACAUGUUAAACUUUGUAUAUUGACUAUCCGAAUUCCAAAUCACGUGUUCUUCUGUAUUUUAUUAGAUAACAGCUUUGUAAAUCUGAAUGAACUGUAUCUAAUUUGUAUAAUACACUAUAUAACUGAACACACACACACACUUGCAAUUAUCUUAAGACUGAAAUGAAUGUGAUUAUCAAAUUUUAGUGGAGUAGUUGGUGGGAAGAAGAUAAUCAUUACAAAAGUAAAAGGUUGUUAAAAAAUGAAAUAAACGAGAUAAAAAAUAAUACAAACAAAAGAGUAACAAAGAACAUAGAUAGAAGAAGAGGUAAUGGAAUAAGAGGGGGGACCUACGCGAAGGAGGAUGUCUCCUUCCACCUUCUUCUCAUUUUAACGACUUUUCAAAAAAAAAAAUAAUUGUCCUCAGCUUAUAUAAUUCCACUAUCUAUGACCAUCACAAAUAUCUUGAACCCAAUCAUUCACCAAAGCUCUCUGUAAACCUUUUGAUUUUCAUCAUCGUUGUGUUAGCUCAUAAGAGAGAGAUAUGGGAAGUACUCCGGCUGAAGUACCCUGCGAGGAUGUCGCCGAUAACAGAUCCGGCGUCGGAGGUGGUAUCUCCGACGUCUACGGCGAGGAUUUAGCCACCUUGGACCAGCUCGUCACUCCUUGGGUUACCUCCGUCGCUAGGUCAGUCAUCACACUCUGUUUUGAACUUUGGUCUAUGAGAAUCGCUUGCUUUUUAGGUUUCCUCUGUUUUCUUACGAACCUCAGCUAAGUUAGUUUACUAAACUUGGGAGCCAAGAAAACUGUGGCUGAUGUUUCUUGUGGUUGAAGUAAGAGAUUGAUAUAAGAAACUUAUUUGUGGGAAAUGGAAAUGUUUCAGUGGAUACUCGUUGAUGCGUGACCCGAGAUACAACAAAGGACUUGCGUUCACUGAUAAAGAGAGAGAUGCUCAUUACUUAACUGGUCUUCUUCCCCCUGUUGUUAUUAGCCAGGAAGUUCAGGUGACUUAAAAUACAUAAGCAACUUCACUUCUUUUUUUUUGUGUGUGUGUGUGUUAACUUGUUGUUUUGAUUAGGAGAGGAAGCUGAUGCACAAUCUCCGCCAAUACACUGUUCCUCUACAGCGUUACAUGGCCCUCAUGGAUCUUCAGGUUAGUAGUAGUAGAGAAUAUGUGUCCAAAGAUUUGUGGCUCAUGUAUAUUUGAAUGUUUGCAGGAAAGGAACGAGAGGUUGUUCUAUAAGCUUUUGAUUGACAACGUGGAGGAGCUGCUUCCAGUUGUGUACACACCAACAGUUGGUGAGGCUUGCCAGAAGUAUGGUAGUAUUUUCAGGAAGCCACAGGGUCUCUACAUCAGUUUGAAUGAGAAGUGUGUAUUUUUAUUUUAAUCUCUCAUUUCCAUUUUGUUUCUUUAAAAAGUACUAAAAGUGAAUGUAUGCUCUUUUAGGGGAAAGAUUCUUGAAGUCUUAAAGAACUGGCCUCAGAGAGGGAUUCAAGUUAUUGUUGUUACUGAUGGUGAGCGCAUUCUCGGUCUGGGAGAUCUUGGUUGCCAGGGAAUGGGAAUUCCAGUGGGGAAGCUUUCUCUUUACACAGCUUUGGGAGGAAUCCGUCCAUCAGCUGUAAGCAUCAUCUAAAACAAAACCUACAAUAUUUUGUUUUUAUCUUUAAAUUUGAUACUAAAUGAAAAAUGUGGUUUCAAAUGUAGUGCCUUCCAAUCACUAUUGAUGUGGGUACAAACAACCAGAAGUUGCUGGAUGAUGAAUUCUACAUUGGCCUUAAACAGAGAAGAGCAACUGGGCAGGUUCUUACCACUCUCUUCCCUAUGUUUUGCUUUCUCUUCUUAUAACUAGUACAAAUGGUUUUUACCAAAAAAAAAAAAUAAAAUAGUACAAAUGGUUUUAAGAAACUGAAAAAGUAUGUUUUGUGUUUGUGAUUUCAGGAGUAUGCAGAGUUUCUGCACGAGUUCAUGUGCGCUGUGAAGCAGAACUACGGAGAGAAAGUGUUGGUACAGGUGAGAGCCAUAUGAUAAAAGAGAUAUUAUUUUGGUUAGAGAUUUUUCAUAUUUUUUUUUUAAAGAUUUGCUGAUACAUACUUUUUUUUUCAGUUUGAAGAUUUUGCAAACCACAAUGCGUUUGACCUUCUGUCUAAGUACAUGGAUAGUCAUCUUGUCUUCAAUGACGAUAUCCAGGUAAGAUCAUUUCCCUAAAAUUGUUCCCUUUUUUACAUUUUGUUUCGAGGUGUCAGCAGUGGCGGAGGCAAAAAUUAUUUUUGAUGGGGGCAAAGACAUCAAACUAAAAUAUUUAGAAUGAGGGCAUAUAGAUUAGUUCUAAUAAUUUACACUAAAUUUUCUAAUUUUGUUGGGUUCAAUGGCCCCCACCUUACUCUAUGUGGCUUCGCCACUGGGUGUCAGCUAUCAAGAAACUUGUGUCUUGUGCUGCAGGGUACUGCAUCAGUGGUGCUUGCUGGGCUUAUUGCCGCUCAGAAAGUGCUUGGUAAAAGCCUUGCUGACCAUACCUUCUUGUUCUUGGGUGCCGGAGAGGUGAGUUCAGGAAUCAUUAAUACUCUAAAAUAUACAUUUUUUUGAAAAAAUACUUUAAAAUAUCUAAAUUACCUUAAUAUAUAUAAAAGAUUAAUAUAUUUAACUAAUUUUUGAUAUUUUUGGAUCCUACUUCGGAUUUCUGUUUGGUUCGAUUUGUUUAUAACGGUUUGGAUCGAGUUUGGAUCGGAUUUUAGUUUUUUAUGUUUGGAACCUUUCUAAAAGCUUAUCAUCUAUCUUGCAUAUAUGUUUUGCUGAUUGGGUAACGCUUGUUCUUUGUAGGCUGGAACUGGUAUUGCUGAGCUAAUUGCUCUUAAAAUUUCUAAAGAGGUUAGUAACUCUGAGAAGUUAUUUACAUUUUCUCUGUUUUAUGGCUUACAAUAAGUGAUUAAUCAUAUAUCCGGGUUGUUUUGUAGACUGGAGCUCCCAUCGAGGAGACCAGGAAGAAGAUUUGGCUUGUGGACUCUAAGGUAUAUUGUUAACAACCAUCAAGACCAGUCUCAUCCUCUUUAACUUAACCAUGAUAACUCAUGUUGCUCUUUUGAACUUUGGUUUACAGGGACUGAUCGUUAGCUCACGCAAAGAAUCGCUUCAGCACUUCAAGCAGCCAUGGGCGCAUGAGUACGAACCUGUCAAGGACCUCAUUGGUGCUGUGAAUGUACGUUAUGAACUCAUCUUUAAAUCUCUUGAUUUUAGUUUUAUUAAAAUUCUUAUAUUCACUUUUUUGUUGAAACAUUUUCAAACAGGCAAUCAAACCAACCGUUCUCAUUGGAACCUCUGGUGUGGGUCAAACUUUCACAAAGGAAGUAGUCGAGGCCAUGGCUACAAACAACGAGGUUUAUUCUUGUUCUUAUUCACACCUUUCUUGAUUAACAAGUCAUCUACUGCUAUUGUUCUAAUACCGGUCCUUCUGUUGGUUUAUAGAAACCGUUGAUUCUUGCUCUCUCAAACCCCACUUCUCAAGCUGAGUGUACCGCAGAACAGGCUUACACAUGGACCGAGGUAUAUAUUCUCUCUAAUAUGACAUCUGAAAAUGAUUCAUGUCCUGGUUAUAACAAAGCUUAAUGUAAUGCUUUAAAAAUAGGGUCGUGCAAUCUUUGGUAGUGGAAGCCCGUUUGAUCCCGUUGAGUACAACGGCAAAACUUACUUGCCUGGCCAGGUCUGCUGCUCAUUUCCAUAUUAUUUUCUCUGUCACUUAAUCUGAAUGCUCAUACGAUAACCCUACAGGCAAACAACUGUUACAUUUUCCCUGGUCUGGGACUUGGUUUGAUCAUGUCCGGUGCUAUCCGUGUCCGUGAUGACAUGCUCCUCGCAGCUUGUAAGUAUAAAUUUGUGACAGAGAGACUAAAAGAUUCUCAGUGGAACUCUUUAUUUAACUUGUCAUUUCUCUGUGUGUAUUCAACAGCUGAAGCAUUGGCAGCUCAAGUCACUGAAGAGAAUUUCGCCAACGGUCUGAUCUACCCUCCAUUCUCAAACAUCAGAGAGAUCUCUGCUAACAUUGCAGCCAGUGUGGCCGCAACAACCUACGACCUCGGUUAGUUCCAUUAAUCUAAAACGGACUUUAAUUUUUAACUCAUGUUCUUGAGUUGUAUAAAGAACGUGUGCUGAUGAAGUAUUUGUUGGGGGUAUAGGAUUGGCGUCGAACCUCCCACGUGCGAAGGAUCUGGUGAAGUUUGCCGAGAGUUGCAUGUACAGCCCUGUCUACAGAAACUACCGUUAAAAAAAAGGAAGAAGUGUUGAAGAAACAUGCAGAUUCUUCUUCUAUUCACAACCUUCUUGAGGCUUUGUAUGAGUGUUGUUUGUUUGUAUUCUACUUUCUACUACACUAUGAUGUUUCGAGCACUCUCUCUUUUGUCUUUUUGGUUCUUGUUUGUGGAAUAAUAAAAUCCAAUCUUAAAAAAAACUACUUUUUCACCCACACAAUCAACAUGUCUUAAUAUGUGAACAUGCUUUGUUGUCUCUUGGAUUCUUAUGAAAUAAUUAUUUGCACUGCAGUGUCACAUAGUAAAUAGUCAUUUUACACUAAAUAAAUAGAUGAACCAAAAGAUGUGAAAACCCCAUUAAUGUUUCUCUGUUAAGAACCAACCAUGUGAUGCAUCAAAUAUUAUAGCAUUUUCUAUAAUCAACCAAUUCAUACAAACAUGUCCGGAAAAUGUAAAAAUCUAACAAUACUAAAAGUUAAAUAACUAGAGCAAAGAGAGUGUCCACGUAUACAAAUUAAUUCAACCAAUGAAGAACCACAAUACUGCUACGUAAUAUUAACCUUCUCUUUUGACAUAUUAGACUUGGGUCAAUCAUGUGGGCUUCGACAAAAUCAAUAAAGGCCAACACUAACAAACCCAACUAUGAAAACUUAAUAAAUAUCGUACAUUCACACACACGAUUGUCGUCUCCGUUUCUUUCACUUCGUCUUCACCGUUCAGAUCAAUGCAACUCUUCGUUUCUAAUCAGUAUUUAUCACCACCCCACUAUCAAUCAUUCAAAGCUGGUCAUUACUCCUUAUCUUCCUCGGAGAUGGUUUCGUUCCAACUCCUUUUCUGGCUCCUCCUAUAUAUAUUGUUUCGUUAAAUCUUAGAUCAAACCAAAAUCUCCACCUUCAGCACAAAAAAAGAAGAAAAUAAGCUAUAGCCAUAAAAUCUGCUAAAGCCAUCGAAAUGACUAGAGUUGAUCUAAACGUCUUUUCAUCUUCUGCUGCCGACACGGAGUCUGAUCCAAGUGUUAUAAACGGCUUGAAACCCUUAUCCUUUCGUCAUCGGGAUCGAUGACGGAUCUACCCAGUACAAACUACGCUGUCAUCGCCAAAACGGUAAGAUUUUUCUUAGUUUUAGAUAAUUGAAUCUUUUUGUGUGUGUUGGCUAAAUGUACUUUGAAUUGAGGUUACUUCAUCACUUAUAUUUUAUGCUAAAGCGCAGAAUCAAAACAGCUGCUGAACAAGUUGUGCGCUUCUGGAGGAGGUUUGAUGGAUUGAUGCUAAAGCCAUUGUUCCAGUAUAGGCUAAGAUGACUUCUAAUAUUAUUGACAUAACAGAGGUGUGCCGUGUGUGGCUUGUGCCUUAUUCAAACACUACAUUUUUUGCCAAUUAAAUAGUUCAAUCAGUUCUGAUCGUCUAAUUUUCUCCUUCAGGGACGCGACAUCUUUCGCACCUGCGGCUCGGAUCAUGGUACGUUCUUACAUUUUGUUUCUGUAAAGAUCUGUAUUGAUCGUGUAAGUAAUGUACAAUACAAUAGGCCUUAUAUACAAGAGCCUUAGACAUUAACUAAUAACAAUAGCUUCCUAAAAUAGGGGAUCGUCAUUUUGACUACAGAAUAUAUGGAAACACAAUCGUAUCUCUAACAGUUUCUUCUUCCUCUGCUCUCUUAAAACACUGUAAGUUAUGAUCGUAGAGCUGUGAAAUUUAAGACAGCCGAUUCUAUGUUUCCAGUGCAGAUCGAAGCUCUAAAAUAAGUUGUAAUAAAUAAUUUUGAAUUGUUUACGGUUUGUGAUUUGUAUUAAAUGCCUCUUUGAUGACUUCUAACAAGCUAUUGUGGAAUUGUACUGAUGCAGGAGGAACAGGAGAAUGCUAGAAAUAGAUCUAUUGUUGUUUAGAGCACAGUAGAUUUAGGUUCAUGUAUGUUGAGGUCACCAACAAAUUGAACAAGUACAAUUCCAAAAUUUAACAUCUUGGGGGUAGAGGCGGAUGGAAGUUAUAGGUUGUUGAAACGAGAGAGCUGCUGAAGAAGGAUUUAACAAAUGAGGUACAAGCUUCAUUUCAUAAAAUUAAACACAAUCUUUGCAUUGGCUGAUGGAACAAGCUUUAUUUUUCUUUGUGGUUACAUGAAUCUACUUGAUACGGGUUCGGGUUUGGUUUUGAGCAUGUUUCUGAGAUCGACGUUGACAGAGACCCGUUUUUUUUUGGACAACAGACAAAGAUCCGCUAAAGAAGGUAAAUGGAUUGAUUUCCUAUCUAGGCAAUGCAAAUGUGAUUUCUGGAGAAGCUUCUUGGGCUUUUAAUCAGUCAUCUUUGAGAACUGGAAAGGAGAAAGAGGUAUUGUAUCUUACAAUCUGUUUGGUGAUAGAUUGAUUCAGAAUGUGGAUAAUAUAAGGGCUGCACAAAUAUUUUGCCUGCAGCCUUUGAAACUGAAGGUAUGGUGGAGUGCAACUAUGAUGCUACUUCCAAAAUAACUGGUGGAUGGAUUUUACGUGGUCAUCUUGGCGUAGCUCUCAGGGGAAAACAUGAUCGGCUUUAGAGGCAGAAGCAAUGGUGCUACUCUUAAUCAUUCCAAAGGCCAUGUAUUAUCUCACCUCCUCCACCAAGCGCAUGCUUAUGAGAUCAUGAAUGUGAGCAACAAUAUCAAAUGGUGGGGCUCAAGAAUGUUACCGGUAAAAAGAUGUUGUGUUGUUCUUCGUUCUCUCAAUCACAUAGCACAUCAUAAUCCUCUUUGUAUGUAUAAAUAGUUUAGAUAAAUAUCAGAUACUUUAAAACACAUGAGUCGGUCGUUUUUAGUAUUUUGUAAUCAUUUGUGUUAUAUUAAUAUAAAAAAUCUAUAUUAUUAUUUGAGAAGUGAAUUUGCUUAUGUGUCAAAUUUUCCAUAAUUUUAGGUAUUUGACUUAUUAUAUAAUUAAAACAAAUUUUAUAUUAAUAAUAUUAUAUUAUAUUUCAUAUUACCUAAUUGAUUAUAAAUUAAUAUGAUAAAUGAUCAAAAAUAUAUAUUUUUCUAUACUAUAAAUCUUCUACAUAUUAUUUUGUUGUUAUCUGAAAUAAUAUGUUUAUUAUAAAACAUUAAGAUAUAAAGAAAUUAUAAUUAAAUAUUAACCAAUCAAAAGUAUUUUUAUAAAAUAUUUCAAAUAUAUAAGUGCUUUUAAAAGUUAAUUAUAUAAUUAAAAUGAAUUAUUAUUUUAAUAAUAUUGGAUUAUAUUUUAUAUUACUAAAUUGAUUAUAAAUUAAUAUAAUAAAUUAUCAAAAUUAAAAAAAAAAAAUAAGAUAAUUCUUAUACAUAUAUAUUUUAUUGUUAUCUGGAAAAUAAAAUUUUAUUAUUAUAAGAGAUUAAGACAUAUAACAAUUUCUAAUUAAAUAUUAGUCAAUCAAAAGCUGAUUUUGUUUGUGUGUCGUAUUCUCCAUGAUUUUAGGUAUUUUUGCUUAAUAUAUAAUUUAAAAGAAUUUUAUAUUAAUAAUAAUAGAUUAUAAGUUCUACUAGCUAAUUGAUUAUAAACUAAUAUGAAAAAUAUCAAAAUAAAAACAUAUAUAUUUUAAAAAUAAAUAAGAUAAUUCUUAUAUAUAUUAUUGUUAUUUGGAAAUAUUUUUUUUAUUAUAAGACAUUAAGGUAUAGAACCAUUUAUAAUUAAAUAUUAAUAUAUCUAAAAUAUUGCUAAUAUAUAAGUGCUUUAAAAAAGUUAUCAAAAUAAUAAACAUAUAUAUUUUGAUGGAAAUAUUCAUCAUAUAUAUAUAUGAUGUUUGAUUUAAACUUUUUGUUAAAUCAUUAAUAAUUAUUUAUUAUAUUUUUUUUGAAUUAAUAAGACAUAAACCAAAAAUUAUUCGUAAGAAGAUAAUGCCUGCAUGUGCGGGCAAAACACCUAGUUAUAAAUAAAGCACCAGCCUAAUCUCGAUACUAUAUAUAUAUAUAUAUUAUAUUUCAACAAAAUAUUAUAUAACAUAUUUAAUAAUUCCUCUUAUUAUACCAUACAAAGUGUUGAUUAACCUGUAUUUUUCUUUCCUUUCAUGUGGGCCAAUAGCAGAUAAAAUGUUACAUCAAUAUAAUCUAUGGAGUCAUCGUUUUGUUUGGGCUUAUAUUACAAAUAUAUUUGCAAUUAUAGAUUCAUAUAAAUAUAAUCCAUAUAGGCUAAACCAAAUAUAAAAUUACUCGAAAAGGUAAAAAUAAAAUAUACCAAUAUAAUAAAACUCUGAUUAGAAAGAAGAAAAUAUGGUUAAACUAAAAAGCAAAUAAGAUACACGAAUUUAUACAAAAGUCUUCUAGAAUGUCAAUAUAAGUAAAUAGAAAAGCUUUAGUCAAAUAAUAAACAAUACAUUUUUUUAAUAACCAUGGGAAUUCUAAAUUUUUAUAGACCCAAAUACUAAUACCACGAAAUCUAGCAUCUGGCUACGUGUGGACAAUUAAAUUCAUUUAAAACGCGGUUAAGUGGCCAAUGCUAUUCAAAUCCAAAAUACAAAUUUUAGCUGAAACCUCUUUCUCACUAGAUCAAACUGCCAAGUCUUGGUUUUUUUAUUAUUUUGUUUGAAAAUACAUCUAUUGCACUAAAAGUAAAUGAUAAAAAAAUUAAAGAUAUUGCAUGUAAAUACACAAUAAAAUGACAGAUAAAAUGAAAUUAAUAUAAAAAUAAAUAACUAAAAAUCUUUUAAAGACUCUUGAAUCAGCCAAAUAUUCAACAAAAAGAAAUCACGCUUUAAUCAACCAUAUCAUUCUUUACAAGAAUUAUAUAAGUUUUUUAAAAGCUUACAAAAAAAUAGCCUCAUCAGUACUUUCCUCCAGGUUAUUAUGUCUACCGUAAAGCAAAUUAACAACAUAAAUCGACAAGCCACAUUGACCAUUAAUUUUCACAUUCGUAAUAAACCUAUUACAUUUGCUUAUAAUAGAUUUCCACAACUUAAAUACAUCGAGUAACACUAAUAAAUAUACUACAAUAAAAUAAAAUAUAAAUACAUAUAUCAACAUGAUCAUAUUCUCAGAAGAGACAGUUUUCCUUGAGGCUAAUGAUGAGUGUCUCUAAAGCUUCAUUUCAAAGGCAUGAACACAACUCCCAGAUUCUCCACUUUCUCCAUAUUCACUUUGUGAAUGAUUCCUUCCAUUUUACCUUUUCUAUUCGUACAACAAAUACAAAUGGUAUUAAGUUUUUUGGUAUAUUCCUGAUUGAAUUUAUGGACUUGGCACGAUGAUAUAUUAGUAGGGUUGAUAUGGAUAGAAAACUCACAUAUCAGCAAUAAACAAAUCUUGAAAUAAUCCAUGAAUUGCAUAGUCUGCUUAGUGUUGUUUAUUAUCGUACUUGAGCCAUCCAUGAGGUAUCUGCCAUUAGCGUCUCCAACGCUUUGACAUGAGCGGAGGCAACAUUUUUUAAGUAACUCUAUUCAUUUACCUUUUCCUCCACCAUCCCAUAUCACAUAUGUAUUUUUAGAUAUUAAAAAGACAAAAAAAUAAAUUUUAAACCUAUCAAGUUUAAUUUAUAAUUUUGUAAAUUGACUGAAAUAUAUAUGCCUUAUAUAUAUUAAAUACAAAUAUAUUUUUCCAAACCCGGGCGUAGCCCGGGAAAAUCUCUAGUCUUAUUAAGAAGAGAACAAAAUCACAGUAACUGGAAAUAAAAAUAGAAAAUCAGUCCAGUAAAACAGUUUCAACCCAACUUAUUAAAAAAAAUUCACUUCAAUACACACCACAGAAGCUAAAUGGGCUUAGUAGUCCUGAGCUUUAGCCUUAAAAAGCCCAUAUAGCAUUCGGUUGAAAUUGAGUAAAUAAUAUUUAUUCUCGGCAAAAUCGGAACAAAUGAUAAGUUGAGGGACUAACAGGUAAAGAAUAAACACAUUUUCUUCCUAAACCGUGUGAUCUUGUUCGCAUCUGGAACAAGCGAGAAGCUCUGAUAUCCCAUAAAUUAAAAUUACAUUUUUCUCGUCUUCUUCGUCAAAAAUCCUCUUCACCGAGUCAUCUUCUCUCCGAUCAAAAAGUCAAUCAAGGUAUGUGCUUUCCAAAUCCAAUCGAAGGAUUUCAUUACAAACAUGUUCUCCCGAUUUCAUUACUUAAUUUCUGCUCUGAUUGAUUUGUUUGUCGGUUAUAACGAAUCUAGGUUUUGUACAAACGGUUUGGGUUCGAACUAUAUACAAAUCUCAGUGUGGUUGUUCUUGUAUUAUGUCUUGACUUACGAAAGUAGCAACCUUUGGUUAAGGGUUUCAUGUUUUUUUUUUUUUGAGCUUACGUCCAUGACGAACCUUUGCAUUGACUUGUGAUGAUUAGAUUGUGUUGGUAUGUGUUUAAAAAUAAUAGCUUUUAUUGUCUGUCUAGUGAUCAGGUUACACAGGAAGUAAGAUUUGAGGUUUGAGAAGCACAAGAGAACAAGAAGGAACCUAAUCAGUCUCAAUUUACUCGGCUUGAUCAAAUUGAAACUGCAGCUAAUGGCGCUUAACCCUCAGUUGAUGCCUAAUGGGAUGCCUGUUCCCUUUGUUAAUGAGAUGUUUGUUCUUGUCCGAGACGGCGUUGAGUUUGAAGUCGACAAGAUUCCUGGGUUCGUCUUUCCUUCGCUUCUGAUUUAUUUUGGGUUUGGCUUUUUAAAUAUUCUGCGCGGGGUUUCAUUUUUGCUCUGUUGUUUUUGCUGGUUUGGAUCUGACAAGUCCCAUAAUUGAACAGAACAUAUAUAGGUCUUAAACACUUUGCUGACGAUGUGUUUUGUUUGAUAUAUAGAGGACAUGGAGGUCAUGUUAAGGCCAAGGGAGUGAUAUACUUGUCUAACAUUCGGAUGGUCUUUGUUGCAAGCAAGCCUGUUGAGAACUUUGUUGCUUUCGACAUGCCUCUGGUACAGUGAAUUGACUCUCUUUUUAUUCAAUUGAUACUAUGGUACAAGUAUAUUUCUAUGAAUAGAGUUGAGGAACUUUAUGCUACUCUUAGCUCAUAGCUCUGGCAAAUAAUGGACUAUAUGUUACUCUAUUUUGUAGCUUUACAUCCACGCCGAGAAAUUCAAUCAGCCAAUCUUCCACUGCAACAAUAUAUCUGGACAAGUCGAGCCUGUGAGUAAACAAUCUUCAUUUGGGAUUUACAUUUUCCUCGUCAGAAAAUUAUCACAUAGAGUUAACUUACACAUCUCUUUGAGCAUGUAAUAAAAAUUUCAGGUGGUACCAGAGAACGAGCACAGAGCACUGUAUUCAACACACAGUUUCAAGAUCUUGUUCAAGGAAGGUGGUUGCGGGACGUUCGUUCCUCUCUUUUUGAAUCUCAUAUCAUCAGUGAGGCAGUACAACAGACAAAUGCAGCAAGCGGCAGAAACAGCAGCGGCAGCUCCACGUGUUGAUCCCCUUCAAGCCGCACAGACCCCUGUUGAUGAGAUGAUGAGACAUGCGUAAGCCCCCUCUCUAUCAUACGAAGGUUUUGAUAAAAAUAAAAGGCUGUUGUUUCUCAAAAUCUUGUGUAUUUGCAGGUACGUUGACCCUAAUGAUCCAACGAAGAUAUAUCUGCAGCAGCCAUCUGGGGAGUCUCAGUUGAGGCGGCGAGCUUACCAUUCCAGUGCAGCGGAACACUGAUGAGACAUAUACACCGAAACUACAUGAGGGUGGUGCCAUACACAUACGCAGCAACACAUUAAGUGUUGCAAAUAAGUUAAAAGCGUUGUUGGUUUGUUGAUCAAACAUAAAAAACUAAAACUACUUUGUGUAAUGAGAAAGAAAAGACUUGUUGGUUAUGCUGUAUAUGUGAAAAUUUGGAUUCUCUAUAAUAGUAAAAAGUGUUUCAAGGCUCGACUGAAAAAAAAAAUCGCUAAUUCUAUUACAAGACAACACAACAUAGCAUUCUCGUUCUGUCCCGAUGAAGUAAUUGAGAGUUUGAAAAUUAAAAAAUCAAAAUUACUUUUGUCGUGUUUAUAUAUGUAGUUUCAACUAAAAUAACAAAGAGGAGAGGGAGAGCGAAACAUACAAAGGAAUUCGAGUGAGGAUCUAAUCGUCCAUAUCUUUGACCUAACCCUAGUAUCGGGGGCUCUGUGCCGUCGGAGCACCCUUUCUGAUCGGAAUAAGACUUUAUACAGCUCAGUUGAGUCUGUUUCCUUCUGGUUAGUGAUGUUCGGUCUUUGUUCAGUUUGUUACUUUAAUCGAAUCAGAGUUUCAGUUACUCGUAGGUUAAGUUUCUGUUAUGUAUUUCUGGUAUUCGGAUUCAUCAGCGCGAUAGCCUCUAAGGGUUAGCUUCGAUUUACUUGAUAAAAUGUCAGUAAUCUUCAAGCUCUGGUUUGUGGAUUGUACAACUAGUUAGGUCUUUGUGAAAUUGCAACUGUUUAUGCGGCUGUGUUCCUAGGUUAGUAAUAAGAUGACCGAAUGAUUCUGUUGUUGUAUUGUGUCUCUGAACUGAACUCUGGUGAUGACCCUUCAGCUGUAUAGACCAGUAUUAAUUAUCAUUGGAUUGUAAUAAAGCCAAUUUAUGAUGCCUUAGCUAUUAGAAUGAAGUUCUUCAGUUUCGUCCUCUAAUGUUUUUACUUACUCUUUGGACUGUGAUUUGCAGAAAUAAAAAAAGGGUGAUGGAAACCCAGAAGAAAACUAGGGAACAUAGCCUACACCAUAUAGUUGAUGACAUCGGUGCUGCAUUUGGAAUGGGAGCUAUUGGAGGUUCUGUGGUCCACUUCAUAAAAGGAACCCAAAAUUCCCCGAAAGGCCGUCGGUUUGUUGGGGGAGCACAAGCUGUGAGCAUGAAUGCUCCUCGUAUAUGAGGUAGUUUUGCUGUGUUCGGAGGCCUUUUCUCUGCGUUUGACUACACAAUGGUGUACAUUAGGAAGAAGGAAGAUCCAUGGAACUCUAUCGUAGCAGGUGCUGCUACAGGAGGGUUUCUGUCUAUGCGACAAGGGCUUGCUGCUGCUUCGAGAUCAGCUCUUAUGGGAGGGCUCUUGCUUGCUUUGAUCAAAGGGGUCCAUUAAUGUUAAACAAGUUAGCUUAUUGGAUUGUGUUUAUUGAGCUUUCUCUGCUCAGUCUUGGAACCUAUAUACUCUUUUGUUUAAAUCAUUCUACAGUAAUUCAUGUAUUGGUGGUAUAUUAUGCCAACUGUUUAAGUAGAAAGACCAUUUUGAGAAGGGAAGGCCAAAGAAUAAGAUUGGCAAUGAGUCUGUCAAGCGUUAUAAGACAACCAAAUUCAUUUCUAUACACCAAAAACAAGUGAAGUUAAGAGGAGUACUGAGGCAGAUAUAAUAAACACAGCCCCAAAAGUAGUUUGAUCUUUGGUUUCUUCUCACUUAUUUACAUACAAAACCUUAACAAGGAUCUUCACCAAUACGACCAACAGAAACAAAACCGAGGAGUAUGUAUAGUGUCUUUGGAUCUUCACCAAUCACCAAUAGUGUCUUUGGACUUCCAUUAACUCCUUGCUGGAAGUUCGUUGAUAGUGUCCUCUGUUUCUUUUUACUCUUACAUCAUAUGCUCUUGGGAGCUUUGUUUUCUUUUUCUGCAAUGCCUUUGUGCAUUUUUCUCUGUUUUUUUUUUUGAACUUGUAAUGAGUUUUUCAUCUCAUCUACGAUAUUGAAUGAAAUCACAUCGUUAAAAGAAAUCUCCAAAAAAAAAAAAAAGGCAAAACAAAAAAUGAAUUUAGCGAAAUCUCUAGUUCCAGAACAAGAAAACACACGUAAUAAGAUUAAACUUGUUAUUAUGGUUGACCUCGAGGAACCUGGACCAAGCUGGGAAAACAAGUGCAAUGCAAAAGGCCAAGGAUCAGCCACAGAAUCUAAGUGGACUUUGCUGAUCAACUUAUUAUCCCCAUAACAUAGAUCCAAGGUUUGCCAGUUUUAUCGCAACAACACACGACAAGCCUUUCAUUGCUGACCUUGUUCAUAGUCACCCAAAUCUCAAUCUUAUUUGUUACCUUGCUUUGCUUUAACACCGAAAACCUUUCUCCCUUAAAGACCCUAAGGACUAGAACAUCGAGAGGAUGUCUCUUCCGGCAUGGGACUGCACAAAAUCUGUAGAAUAAUUCCCUCGAAAAAUCGAAGGUUUCUAGGUGAUACUUUGUCUCGUCAAAAGAAAUAAUCCAAAACAAAUUUACAUUCAUCAAAACACCACUUAGAGAAUGUGACAGUGCAAUUUGAUUUUUUUCCUUGUUAGUAUCACCGGAUUUAGACACCACGUACUUCCACGUACCUGAGGCAAGGUCGUGGAUUUUCCACUUGGUAUAAUUACACCAAAUUGUCUUGUACACUCUUUUCUCACAUUUACUAUUCGUAUGAGGAUAACCUAUGCCAUGGAAUUUAAAUCUAGUUUCGUUAAUCCAUGUUAUUUGUUUCAACCACGGGUUACAAACUGCGGUUCCAGUAUCCGUGCUACAUAUCAACAACUCGUCGCAAUUAACCAACUUCGUAGGUUUUGAGAUUCCAAACCGAAAAUAUCCAAUGAUAACUCACGCACCACUAUCUUGGGAUCAAUGCUUACCGAAUAAUCUUUGAUUUAGUUGUUAGGAUGAAUCGAAACGUGUCCUUAUGGUUGUAUACGAACGUCUUGUCGUCCAAUAUAGCUUUCCAUCGUUUGCAAACAACUGUGAAGCGCACAAGAGAUUUUGGAGACGCGCGAGAUAAUAUCUCUUCAAUCAAAUUCCAUGGAAGUUUCUCCUCUCGCGGUGCUAUAUCUAACUUUUGUUUUUUUGUCUUUGAUUCCAUUGUCAUUUUUAACUAGUUAGGGUUUGCUCAUAAAAAUAUAUAUAUAUAUAUAUAUAUUUAAGAUGUGUUCAAAAAAAAAAAAUAUGAUUGUAUAAGAUCAAUUUUCCUUCUUAUAUAUAUACCGCCAUUAAAUAAUAUCAUUUUAAAAGAAAUUUUCUUGUUUAUAUUUGACAUUAUUAUAUUUAUAUUUUAAUUUUUCCGGUUUGGACAAAAGUAAAAUCUUAUAUGUUUUGUAACCUGUUUCUUUUGAUUUAGUUAAUUUUACUAAAAUUCAAAAAAGUUAAAACUACAUUUUUCCCUUUGAUCAGGCCACAUUGUAAACACGUUGUAAACUAUAUAUGGUAACACUGACGACUCUCUUUUUUUCCAACAUUCCACGUCUUUGGCCAUUGGACUGCUUGAUGCUGUUCUUGACCUCUUUCUUUCUCCUUGACCAACGAGACCAAUUCUUUUUUUCCCCAAACAGGAUCAUCAGAUAACAAGUUUUGUUGCCCCUCUAAUUAUAUCCAUCAAAUAAACUUGUUGCCCCUUGACAAUCACAGUUCCUUCUCUUUUGUAUCCCUAAUUCUAUUCACCUAAGAGUAGUAAUAGAAUUACAAGAGAAACAAAAUAAAAACAAACUGGGGCUGGCCUGUUUUAAUUUGUGCUCCGAAAUAUUACCUGACAAGACUUGGUCACGACUGCCAAAACAGCUGAUAAUCCUUACUAUACAACGAGCGGUCUUGUAUCUCCAGGUUUGCUACAUGCCGGUUUAUGAGCUGCGACUGCAUUAUCUUACACACGACCAGUCCCACUGGAAAUAUCCACCACUCACUUUCACCCCUGCAUCCCCCCAAAACACAUCAUAAACCCCAAUAGACCAAAACGUAAGAUUGACAAAAGUAUUCCUUUGUAGUGAUACUCACAUGUUUAUAUUCCACGGCUGAAAUGGGAUUUUCUUGCUUGCUGAUGAUUCGCUGUUAUAAUGAACAUAUCCGCAGAGGAAAGCAACAAACUGUCACAGAACCAAAAAACUUGUCAAAUAACGUUAAGACAUGUAACAUCUUCUAAAGAAUCAACACCUACUGAUAUAACUGUUAAAAUCCAUCCUCAUGUGACAGAAGUUCACAUUUGCAUUUGUAAUCGAAACAAGUUAUCAACAACAAAAGAACAAGAACAAAAAGAUCUUACCACAUUAACCAAGGACAUGAUAUUCCACAAAGCGUAAACACGUGCUAAGCCAGCAGAGCGUCUGGGUCCAUGACUGAAUAAGGCAUUGAUCCCAGCGGGGAAUGGCAAAAGCAAGCCGAGAGGUAAUAUAGACAAAGCCAAAAGUACAUCCACCAACGAAAUCGAAUACAGCUGGAGCAGGGUGAGCAAGACUAGACUAAAAUCUCCUAGAAGUAUCAUCGAUAUAACUAAGCCAACCAUAUCCUGUAAUAUCACAAAAAUAUAACAUAGGGAAGAGAAAUUAAAAUUAUUGAAAAGUUGGACGGCACAACAUAUAAUAAGACAUUCAUAUUAUAAGGAUUUUGAUUGGAGAGGUACCUGGUGACCCACAGGUUUCGUGUUGUGAACUAAGAAAGAGAGAAGGAAAAACAUAUCUCUCUUCUCUUUCAGACUCGGUAAGCUGUCAAGGUCGAUUAUUCCUCCGUAGUUCUUUCUUCGCGUUGUAUUAUCCUCAGCGUUUGUGUGGUUUUGAUUGUAGAGCAUAGUCUCUCUUAAAUGUGCCGGAGAAUUCUCUUUAUGUACAGUCACACCGAAACUAAAGAUUACAAGAAUAAGACAUCAAAACCCCGCAUAACUAAAGAUAAGUGUAUAACGGAAACAUGCUUAGGUGUGUGACAUAAGCAAAAAACAACCUUAAACUUCUAAAGUGAUCAUCUUAUGUAUCUAGAAUGCUCAAGUUCAUAUUUUAUAUUCAACUCAAGACAAUACAGCGCAUUCAGAAGAAAUAAUGGUAUCAUGACUGUUGUCACUAAAAUUGACCGUAUGAAAGGAUGCAAUUUCUCAUUUAUUUACCGUGGCUGGAUCUCAGUCCAUGAUGUUUCACUGACAGACUGAGGUGAUGUUGGUUCACAAUCCUCGUCAGCAUGAAUCAAGAGACCGUAUUGGUAGUAACCACAAGCUGUGGUCUGGAACCAGGCUAGAUCAACCCGUAUGCCAUGUGUUUCCAGAGCAGGAUUGGCAUGAGUUUCUAACCAUCUCAGAACAGAAUGAAACGUUGAUCUCAGACGCCCACGGCGAACAAGGCGCAAUUGAGCAUUCACACCAGCCACCAGUCUGUACCAAGUAGUGGGAGGAACGAGCUGGGAAAAUUAAACAAUGACAAAGAUCAGUACAACCUAUAACAUGGCAGCUAAAACUGCUUCUCGUUAACACUAAGGAACCAACCUCACUCAUCAGGCUAGUAAGAAUGUUGUCAUUUUGAAGUGAGAAAGGAGCCAUGUAACUGCCAUCACCACCAAACAAUAUGGGCAUUGGAAACCUUUGGUGAAUACCAGGUGGAAGGUCUGUCCUUUUCUCAUCCCCGCCAAGGAAGAAAUCCAGAUAUGCAAGCAUCAAAUCAGGGGUGGCAGCGACCUAAAUUUAGAAGAAAAAAAUAUGAAUAGCAAAGUAAGACAACAAAUCCUUGUAAAACGAAUCAGAGAUUCUGAAAAAUCUGUAGUCCUGUUAAGCAGUUAUGAGAUCAAAUAAAUCCCACAGGAAUUACCUUCAGACCCUCGUAUAAAGCGCGGGAGCGACAGGAGCGCAGACAGGAAUGAUCAUAUUCUGAACGUACAAACUCACGCAAUUUUUGCAACUUCAACUUCCGCCGCCAUUGCUGCCAUGACCACGCAAGCGGAUAUGCAACCACCGAAAGAAUACUAUAUAUUGCACCUUCCCACCAUUGAUAUGCAGCUAUAGAGUUGAUUUCGUCGACAAACGUGUUAAAUGCAGCCUCAUAUCUAAAGAACCCAAAACCAAUAGCGCCAAGGCUAUUAGAUAACUAUAGACAAAAUAAUGAGACAUAGUUAAAAGCUAGGAAAUAAAAGAAGAAACAACUAACACUAUCUCUUUUAUCUCUUCUGGGGGAAUAUGCGAGAGAUGCCAUGGCUCACUGAAUGUAUUAGGACCCAUAAAGUACAUUCUAUGCACAUGACUCUGCGAUUGCUCUGCUCUAUUUGUUUCCAACACCUGAAAAAAGGAACAACAUUAUAAUCAAUAACACUGUAUUAUAAGGAAUAUUUGGCAGGUUCUUUUGCUCAGUUAUGUCUGCUAGCCAUAUAUUAGUUGCAUCUGGAGUGACAAAUCAGAAAAUACAUAAAUCAUUCUUCGUUUGCUUCCAGAAAGUACGACAACCAAACAAUCUUGGAUCUAAUGUUCGAAGACAAAGAAAAUCAUCUAACCUCAUUCAGUGAUUCAAGGAAAGGGAAGGAAUGAUCUAUUUGAGAGCCAUGAUGCGUGGGUGCUGGGCCAGGUAAAUCAUCAACUCCAACAAAUUUCAUCCGUGCAACACUAAGUACAAGUGCUAAUAGGAUGAGGAGACCCAUCAGAAGAAGACCAAACAACCAAGGCCCACCAAAUGUGUAAAUUAACUCCUCCAGAGCGGUGUAACAGUGUGGCAUGUGAUACCUUUCCGAUAUGCAUCGAUAUGGACAUGGUGUCUCAGAAACACCACCUGUUAUUAAGCAUAGAAAUUCCAAGGUUUAUAGUUGAGACAUAAAAAUGUUCGCCACCAAUUUACAGGCACAGAAUUUGUAAGAAAAAAUAUUCAUUACCGUGGGAAAAUAAAAGGUAAAAAGUUUAGGCUUGGUAGUUGAACGGGAAACAAAACUUAUAUCACCCAAAAAUAGGAAUUUUUUAUAGCAUAUAUGUAAUAUACAAGAGCUCCAGAUUUAUGCGAAAGGCUAUUAUACCUCGAACUGGGACAUAGACAGCACGAGAUGGAAGUUCAUCAACGGGACAAGGAAGGCAAAGAGACCUGUCAGAUCCAGUAACAUUCUUGAAUGUACCAGAUGGACAUUCCUGGAGAAAGAGUAGAAUUGUGAAUAUAAUGAGAACUACAUUAAUAAUUCAAUCGUAAUAAGGGAACAAAAGACAAAUAGAAAAUUUCAGCCCUGAUAUUAUAGAGCAGGAAAAUGUUGAGCAAAGUUUUUCUAACCUUGCAAAAUAUACCGUGGAGUCCCUUUGGACAAGGCUUCCCCGUUAUGGUGCCAUUUUUACCGGAAAAACCAUCAUCUACUGCCGCUCCCCCCCUACAAUUACAAAAAGAAACAGUGUGUUAAUGCGACAGGCUGGAAAGCGAUAUCAAAUAAUAGCGAAGUAGUGUUAAAUGCAGUCAAUGACGGGAAAACAUACUAAUGCCAUGGAAAACAGGUCAAAGAUUUGGGAAUGCACACGUAUUUAGAGGACAGACCUUGCAUGGAUUAUUCCGUUUACACUAGCAAUAGGUUGGUAUAUGUCCCCAGUGGGAAUGUUUGACCAAUGAAAAUGGAUCCUCCCACCUCCGCCACCACCACCACCAGCAGGACUGCCUGACCCACCACCACUUGAGAGAAGAGACGACUCUCCCAAAAUAAGAUAACGCAGGAACAAAAGAACUGUUCCGCCAGAACCACCACCAGGUGCUACAACAGAACCAUUUUCAUCUCUGCUCGAACGUUUGACACUUUCUCCAUCAGCCCUAAUUGACCCUUCAAGUGAUAAAGCAGAUAGAGGCUGCUCCAUUGAACCAAUCACUGACCAGAUUCAAAGGCAAAGAAAGAACAUGUUAAACAGUAUAAUCAUGAAUGCUAAAGCUUUCAUGGCAACUACAUGCCUGCACAACAGUGUAUGGCCUAAACCAUGACAAGCUUCUACAAUGUUAAUGGCCUACGAAUCAUAAACUUGUCACAAACAACAAAAUACAAUUCGCCAAAUAUAUUCGCCACACCAAAUACCAAUAGUCAGCAGUCUACAUCAUACAUUUUGCAUCAAAUUCCUAUGAACACAGCCUAAUCUCUCAAGUUUACUAGAACUCCAGAAUCAUCAAAAUCUCAAACAAUUCAUACCUACAAUACCACCACCAGAAGAUGAAUAGUCUGCGCUAUAAUCGCCACUUCCACUGCCAAGCUCGCAAGGGAGUUCUGCAUUUCCAUACGUAAUUCCACCUUCAACACAACUGUUAUUGUAACAUACACGGCCCCCUUUACCGCCAUGUCCACCACCACUACCAAAGCCAUUUCCAAGCAAUUUACCUUCACCUACACCACCUCUACAACCUGUGAUAACACGAAAAAAUUGCAUAAGUGUGAUGCUAAAAGUACAUUAAAAAGUAUAAGAACAUAUCUUCUUUCUCCCUAUGAAUGGGUAGCACCUAAUAUAUUAUAAUUAGGGAGUAAGCCAAGGACAUGCCCAUACGAAAUGUAGAGGAUGCGCGAUCAAAACAAAAUCCAAAGGGAAAAUAGUUAUUGUUACCCAUUCCACUGGCACUAAUCUCUCCAGAAGGUUCAAGGGUUACUGUUUUUGCACGGUGGAAAUGAACUACUGAUCCUUUGAUGAAACCUUCAACGAUAAUAUCCUCAACACGGCAUAUCUAGAAAGAAAGAAACGUUAUCAGAAUUUUCAUGCUAGAGCAUACGAGUUUAAACACAGCAGACAUACCUGUAGAGUAAAGGAUAGAGAUGCAUUAACAUUGCAAUCCUCUGGAGGAUGCAGUAGCUCAUAGGGGCAAUCUUGCCGAUCACAAUAGAGCUUUGGUGUACUGCAAAGGAUGAGAGUUUAAUUAUUGUCAGCUGAUAUUAUCUUCGAAGAAUAUGGAAUCAAACUAAGCAUAAUAUGGCAUUUCCUAAAAUCUUACACAGCAUCUCGGGAUGCAUUUUGUAGAGGACCACGCAAAAUAGAUCCAGGCCCAACCUACAAUUUAAAAAAAAAAGUCAUUAUCUCCUGAACCACAUCAAGCACCUUUUUACAUCUAUUAAUUAGAAAAGCCAAUAUGGUCUCUAAAGGAAACCGAUAGUCAAAUUAUGCAUGUUUCAUUGCAUUUCCGCGGCAAUGAACACCACCGCCUAUUUUUCAUCAGCACAUAUAGUCAUCUGAUGCAGGAGUGUCAUCAAAAUAAGUACUAGGAACCCACUUACAUAAAUCUGGUAAAACAGUGACAAAACAAGCCGUUGUGCUUCAAUGGAAUCCCCUGGUCCAGUAAGAUUCAAGAGACCUUGUCCAUGGACUCCAAGAUUUGCAUUUGACCGAAUGACAGAUGAUUCCUAAUUUAGAUUGAGAGGUCAUACAAACAAAUUAGAUGAAACGGCUUGUAACACACUAUUUGGAGGAGGAAAACAAUGACAUGAAUUUGUGAUUACCCUAAGAACAAAUAAAUUGCUAGCUUCGAGUAUGGAAGUCGAUACAGUUGUAUCUACUCCUCCUCCAUCUAUAUGCAAUUCUGAAUUCCACAUCAAGAACAUCUUAACGGUCAUGCGUAAAGCCCCAUAAACCUGGUACAUACCAAUAACGCAAAGCAUGACGAACAAAUGAUUUACAUGAGAACCAAAAUAGAAUAUGGAAUAUGAAGAAUGGGCAGAUAAACCAUGAAUGAAGCAGAUAGUAGCAGCACAGAAAUAUUCGUAUCUAGCGCAGAAAGCAUGAUCUGGAUCAGAAUUUCCGAAAAGUGGAGAACCAGGGAUAGACUCACCUUGAUAGUGGAAUCACUCAUUAAGAGUUCUUCGGCCAAUAAUUCAAAUACUGAUGUACCAUAAUGAGCCAAUCCGAAGCUCAAAACGCCUCCACACAACAAACUAAUUUGCCCUUGAACCUACAUAUUAAGUAUUUGAGUACUACAUCUUUAAUUUUACAAAAUAAUAUGCUGAAAACUGGAAAUCUCACUGAACACCUAAAUUUUAUAUACACAGGGAAGACUAAAGUGUACAGGAAAGACACUAGAGUUGCACAAAAAAAAGAAACAAUAUCAUUUUAUAUGAGAUCACAAAUAGCCCUAGCAUUACAACUGCGGAAGGUGAUCAAAUAGUUGACCUACAAAGCCCAUGCAAUGGAAAUUCACUUUUGAAAUACCUGAACACGACUCCAUAGCAGAGGACAAGUUGCCCGCGCUUUAUCCUGAAUAUAAACAUUGGUCCACAGAGGCUGGAAGGGGAAUUCUAAGAGAAGAGUGUAAGUAUCUGUCGUCAGAUUGUAGUUGCUAACGAAAAGGCUUCGGGGAACAGCAUCGUAUAGAGUCCCAGCAGCACCUGAGUUAUCUGGACAUCCGAUACUGUAUCCGCCUGCAUGUGGUUUCAUGAAAUUAGUUCACAUGAUUGCCGAUGUUAAGCAAGUACGGAAAUACUCGCUGGAAACAAAGUAACUAAAUAAAUAUCUGAAUGUAGAAUUUUGCUGGUGAUGAUCUAUCAGCUGAGAAAAUGGAAUUAUAGCAUGAAACCUAUUGGUUCAUAUUUUAGGACCCAAUAAAAUUUUGCAACACACAAGUUCUUGAAAUGUGGAUAUAUUUACGAUGGCCUGAAAAAAACAGGGACUUCCUAGGGACGAGAAUCUAACCAUGCACAAAGAUCUUUGGGUCAUCAUGCCUGCUAAAAAUAUUGACAGAGACUCUUCCACCACCUCCACCACCGUAACCAUUCCCACCACAUGCACUAAUCUGUCCAAUUCCAGUCCUGCACUUCAAAUAACAGCAAAGCAGAAGAUGCUAACUGAGAUCAAUUUACCAAGAAUCUGAGAAGACAAAAGACAUGGGUUGUUUCAUGUGUACCAUACAAUAACGAACAGCAAAUUUCGGAGAGUUAUAACCAAGAUCUAAAAUAUUUAAAAAUAAAUAUGCCCUGAAUAAGAUGAAUUCUUAAUCACACAUCCUAACGAGAACUAGGACGAGAACAGAGACCCUAUAAAGCACAGUCCUAGCAUACAAUAUUCAACCAUGAGUGGAUCAUGCAACUCUGUUCAUUUCCUCAAACUCAACAUGCGCUAAAGAUUACGUUCUUGAGAUAAAAAUCAGGACCUAGCAAUUAAUAAUGCUUAAUCUAUUGCAAAUCUUGCCUUCUCUGCUGACUAAAAAGACUUAAAAUCCAGGGAAAAAACAGCAUAGAAUCGAAAGUACGUUACAUCUUAUAUGCCGUGAUGUAGACGCUGCCACCAGACCCACCACCACCUUUAGCUCCUCCAUAACCUCCGUCCGCCAAAAGGCUCCCAUUAACAUCCAGAAACUGCGUUACAUUCAUCUUCACUCUCCCACCCCCUCCUCCCCCAUAAUCAAUCUCCCUGCUCGUCGACCCGCCUUUACUCCCAUAACUCCACGGCUCAUCCAGAGUCGACCACGAGUACGCAUCCCCUCCCCACACAUCUUCCGCAAGCUUCUUGGUAUCAGUCAAACAACAAGCUCCCCUCCCACCAUGCCCUCCACCAGCACCAUCAAUCCCCUGCGGCGUCCCACUGGUCUGCGCCGGAGGGCUCCCAGCUAAACCCGUCGUGUUCACCGCCGAUCCAUCAGCAAAGCUAGCGUUACCAGCCGAAAGCUCAAAGGUCCCGGCAACAAUCGUGGACUCAGCUCCCAGAGAGAAGUUCCCAGAGACGUUGAUAGCUAUAGAGCAACCAGGGAUCGAGCAGUGAAACUUAACACCAGGCAAGAUAAUAAAAUUACCCUUCCCAGCUAUGUACACAUCUUUAGUAAGAUUCAAAUCGGCGACGAUCUUACAAGUAGUAUCUAGAAACCCAACGCCGCCGAGAUCCUCGCUGCAGGACACCGAGGGCCCGUGCGGAGGCGGCGGCGGCGGAGCAGGCGGGGAGUAAUCCUGGUGGAAAAGCAGCGACUCUGAAUCCGAAUCCGGGUCUAAACCACCCGAAUUGGGCUCGACAAUGGCGAAUCGGUAGCUUGAGCUAGGGUUUACGGCAAAAACCGCAGCAGCUACGAAGAAGAAGAGGAAUUGAAAUCGAGCCAUCUAGUAGUUUCGUCAACAGUCAUCACAGACGAAGUCUAGUGAGGUUUUCGAUUCGAUCCCAAUUCGGAUCAUUGAGCUUAGGGUUGACGCGUGAUUGAAAACCCAGAGACUCAAUUAAACACACGCGCCUAUGCAGAAUACAUCAACGUGCGUGUGUGUGUGUGUGCAUGUGUAUGUAUAGUCGUCUUGCUCGAGAAGAUUUGGAGAAAAAGCGUAUAAACCCCCACACCGAAAACUGCUCUUGUAGAGAGAGAAAUGUUGCUUUUUCCUUGCUCGGGUAGAGAGAGAAAGAGAGAGGGAAGAGAGAGCUUUCGAGGAGAAAGUAACAGGUUGGAACGGAGAGUAGUUGCGAUCAGGUGCGUGCGGCUUCACCGUAAUCGCGAAGAAAUCAGCAAAAUCUUCUUUUGGAUAUAGCAAAUCAUAAUAUGCCAUGUGUAUGUUUAUUUCAUUAAUUAUCGAAUAGUUGUAUGACAGCUGUUAUAUUACGUUUUAAUUACUCGCUUUGCUGUUAAACUGUAUCUUCCUAUUAUGGAACAGUGUUUACAUUGGGCCUGAUAGGCCCUGAUUCCUAUGGAGUUUAAUGUACACGUGCUACGCUUGAGUGUGAGUGUCCAACUUUUUUUUUUUUUGCAUCUCAUUUUAUUAACUUAUUAAAGAAAGUCGUGUGAGUAAAGACAAAAAUUAACAAAUCUGGCUGGCCCAAUAGAAAGCUAGCGGCAUUAUCAAUUCAAGACCCAAUUUUUUUUUUUUUUCCCAAAUUGUUUUUAUUGAUUAAAAGGGCCAAGUCCAUGGCCGAAGCCCACAAACAAAAAGCCCACUAGCACGAGAGGUAACUUAUAACAAAGGCCGAGGCCCAAAUUCAAAUAAACGGUCCAAAGCCCCAAAUACACACAAACGGACGGUUUGCCCUAGAGGUCCACCAAGGAGACAGGCCGGACACGUGUAAACAUCUGGAGAGUCUGCACGCCACGCGUCGUCCGUCUCAACUCGAUCUCCGCCUCUUCGCACAACCGCCGAAACCAGCCACCGACAACCACUUUUCACCGGAGCUCCGAUACUGCAGAGCCUCCGCGUCACCAUGACUCUUCACGGCCGCUCUGUCUUCACGCCGGAGAGAUCGUCGUUCUAACGAGGUCUCCCCCGGCUCUGAACCACCAGAAACCCUAGAUAGGCGCGCCGCGAACCACCGCUAUCUUGGCUUAACUAUCCUCACCGUCGCUGGAAUUCUCUUCCUCAACGACCCACAAACUCAAACUCGAACUACACGACACCCACCAAACUUUAAAUACCUCUAACCCAGUAACCUCACCCCAAAAUUAGGGUUUCAACACGGCGGCGAGGAUCUUUGAGAGCCUCCUCACUCCGUCAUUCAUAAGCCGGCAAAGAAGGAGCUGAAGAAGCCUCCCUUUCCGGAAGCUAGAGCGGCGACGGUGGAUCUGAGAUAGCCUCCACCCCCCGCGAACCGACCGGCGUCGAUGAAUCUAGAGAAGCCUCCAUCGNNNNNNNNNNNNNNNNNNNNNNNNNNNNNNNNNNNNNNNNAUUCGACCAGCGUCGAUGAAUCUAGAGAAGCCUCCAUCGCCCGGAGAAACACAACCCGAACCGACAAGAAAUUCGCCUCCCCCGAGGCUCUCCAAACGAGCGCGUCUUCACUCCAAAAUCCGACCACCGAGAAGGUAAGUUACGGUAUCAGAGCUCCGACAAGGCGUCCGUUGAUGGCACUUCGGAAACAAGAUGGAGGAAAACUAAAUUGCUGAAGCAGGAGUGCUUCCGGCGACGGCACGGACGCUCACGCGCCGGCCGUACGCCGGAGAAAGUCUCUUCUCUCUUCUCUCUCUUCUUUGAACAGUCUAUGAGAGUUAUUAUGAGUGCGAGACCCAAUUUUAAUUUAACAAAUCCAGAUUUACGUUUUUUUAUCAAAAUAAUUAUAGAUAUUGGUAGUCCUCAACUGAGCUUAUUAUCCAAAAUCCAAAAACCGAACCGGAACCGAACGAAAACAUAACAUAUACCCGAAUAUUUUUAAUAUAUUGAAAAAUUUAAUUAUUUUUAAUUUUAAUACAUAUAAAUAUAAUUUAUAAAUAAAAAUAUCUUUAAAAAUCUGAAUAACCCGAAUAUUUUUCGGGUUUUUUUCGGGUUUAACUCGGAUUUUCGUGAUUGUUUCGAUUUUUUUUCGGAUUUUCAUGAUUGUUUUGAUUUUUUGGGUUAUAAACCUGAACCAAAUCCAAAUUAUUUGUAAUACGGUUCCACUUCAGGUUUUAUAAAAAAAAUAGAAAUCCGACCCAAACCCGACAUUAUCCAAACCGAACCGAUCCAAAAAAUGUCUGGUUCCUAAACGGUUCCUAAACAUCUCAACACGAAUAACCCGUAAACCGAAUAAACCGAACCGGCCUGACCCGUAUGCCCAACACUAAAUAUUGGUGUGUAUGAACAACAGCCUACAGCUUCAACGUAUAUGAAAAAUACAAAUUUUAGUGAUGAGGAUAUGUAUUACAUGGAUCCCAUGGCUUAUGGACAUUCUACAUGUUCAAAGUAAGAGAUUGCGAUCAGAAAAGACCAAUUUGAAUCUGUGGGAUACAUUCUAAAAUGCAAUUUGGCGUGACUCAUCACAAUGCAUCUGCUGCUGCGUACUACUCAGGGUUGUCGCAGGAUUCGGGCUCACCGGACUAUACAAUGCACAACAACAACAACAAACACCUGAAAUCUCAGAUGAUUUUUUUUUUGAUAAAAGAAUUUUUUUUGGUAAAAGAAAAGGUGGUUUCACCUCUUUGUCGGAAUCCAAGCAUUGUAAAUAGUUUAUCUCAACGUGAAUUAAACCCAUGUGGCGGUAGUUGCAGCCGCAACCCCUUUACCAUUGGACCAACUCAACAAUGGUUCUCAGAUGAUUUCUUCUCCAGCCUCAGUAACCACAGUUACCAAACUAGAGGCUUUAAGCAGUGAAUAUGUCUGAGGUUAUCAGGUUUAAUUCUACAUUCAAACUAGAAGUCAAUGUUUGUCGUUCUUGCUCUUGAUUGAUGGGACAGUCCUCUCGGUGGCUGAUGUGCCCAUUGUUGUUGUGGCAAUUACUCUGCGUUUUAAAUGAGUGAGAAUUGUUUAUGGUUUCUUGGUAAGAGACUAUUAAUUUGUUAUUGUUUCAAACUUUCAAUAGUGUCUUGCACAACGUAUAAUUUCAAUUUUUCAUCGGAGAAUAUAUCGUGUGUGAUUCUUCUUCUUAGCUUUUUAUGAUUCAAUUUUUGUCAUUAUUUAAUAAAACAGUAUAUCACAUUGAUCACGACCAUUCUUACACGACUUUGGGAGGCUCACUCACUGGUCACAAAAAUUCAUAAAAAAAUAUUAAUUAAUCUUAUCUACAAAAGGAGUAUACACUUUAUGAAGAGAAAACAAAAAAAACGUCUGAAACCAAAAUCAAGAUGUCACCUACUCAGUGGCUACCCACUAUCCUCACCGUAGUCUUCUUCUUCUUGAGCUUAGCUUCACCCUCACAUGGAAGCUCACAAGUUGGAUACGGCUACAUCGUUAGCUCAGUGGCCGUUGAUUCCAACCAGAAGGUCUUGACGGCGAAGCUUGAUCUGAUCAAACCAACGUCCGUUUACGCACCAGACGUUCAAACGCUAAACCUUCAUGUCAGGUCAUAUAAAUAAUCUUCUCCCUCUCUCUAAUCUAUCUACUGAACAAUAUUGAUAUGUAUUUACAUUUACAUAUAAUAUAUGUUACAGCUUGGAGACAAGUGAGCGUUUGAGAAUCAGAGUAACAGACUCUACUCAACAGAGAUGGGAGAUACCGGAAACCGUUAUCCCUCGCGCCGUAACCCACUCUCCUCGCCGUUACUUAACGGAAGAGAACAAUACCUUGGAAGAUCCAUCAUCGGACUUAGUUUUCACACUCCACAAAACGACGCCGUUCGGUUUCUCCGUCUCCAGACGCUCCUCCGGCGACGUCCUCUUCGACGCGUCGCCGGAUCCAUCGGAUCCGAACACCUACUUCGUCUUCAAAGACCAGUUCCUCCAACUAACCUCCGCCUUACCGGAAUCCCGAUCGAAUCUGUACGGUCUCGGAGAACACACGAAGCGAUCGUUCAAGCUGAUCCCGGGAGAUGCAUUGACUCUGUGGAACGCUGACAUCGGGAGUGAGAAUCCGGAUGUUAACCUGUACGGAUCGCAUCCGUUUUACAUGGACGUGAGAGGAUCUAACGGUCACGAUGAAGCGGGGAUGACUCACGGCGUUCUAUUGAUGAACAGCAAUGGAAUGGAUGUGAGGUAUGAUGGAAGUCGGAUUACUUAUAAUGUGAUUGGAGGUAUCAUUGAUCUGUAUGUGUUCGCCGGACCGUCGCCGGAGAUGGUGAUGAAUCAGUAUACAGAGUUUGUUGGAAGACCUGCACCUAUGCCUUAUUGGUCAUUUGGUAAGAGCUCUUUGCUCUCUGUGCAUUUUUACGAUACAAUGGUAGGGCUCUGAGGUCACAGGUUCGAACUUCGUUGAGAGAGAGAUUUGAUCUCAAAAAUAGUUUAAUUACAUGGUUUGGGCCUCGUCCUUGGAGAAUGUACGGAUCAAGAACUCUUCGUAGUCACUAAAAGAAAUUGAGAUGUUGUUUUGCUUUGAAAAUGUUUCUAUAAAUACUUAUUUUAUUGGGGGUUUAUUCUUUUUGGAAGGAUUCCAUCAGUGUCGGUAUGGAUACAACAAUGUGUCAGACCUUGAAUCUGUGGUUGAUGGAUAUGCAAAAGCUGGAAUACCUCUUGAGGUUAUGUGGACUGACAUAGACUACAUGGAUGGCUACAAAGACUUUACUUUGGACCCUGUGAACUUCCCGGAGGACAAGAUGAAAUCAUUCGUGGAUACACUUCACAAGAACGGUCAGAAGUACGUGCUGAUCUUGGAUCCAGGUAUAGACUAUAACACUAUCUCUUAAGAGUCUCUUAACAUAUUUGAUUCAAGAAAUGAACAUUUGGGCUUUGCUUGUAGGUAUUGGUGUGAAUAGCUCCUCUUACGGGACAUAUAACAGAGGAAUGGAAGCAGAUGUGUUCAUAAAACGAGAUGGUGAGCCUUAUCUCGGUGAAGUUUGGCCUGGGAAAGUAUACUACCCUGACUUCUUGAAUCCAUCUGCUGCAACUUACUGGAGCAACGAAAUCAAGAUGUUCUUGGAAACUCUCCCUUUGGAUGGUCUGUGGCUUGACAUGAACGAGUUGUCAAAUUUCAUUACUUCGCCUCUGUCCCCUGGAUCUUCACUCGAUGAUCCUCCUUACCAGAUCAACAACUUAGGGGGCAAAGCUUCUAUCAAUAAGAAGACAGUACCAGCAACAGCUAUCCAUUUUGGGAACGUUAGUGAAUACGAUGCGCAUAAUAUGUAUGGACUCUUGGAAGCUAAAGCCACUCACCAAGCUAUGGAGGAUAUAACGGGAAAGAGACCGUUUCUUUUGUCGAGAUCCACGUUCGUAAGCUCGGGGAAGUACACAGCUCAUUGGACAGGAGAUAACGCUGCGAAAUGGGAGGACUUGGCUUACUCGAUCCCGGGGAUACUCAACUUUGGACUGUUUGGGAUCCCAAUGGUUGGAGCUGACAUCUGUGGUUUCUCAGAUGAUACCACCGAGGAGCUAUGUCGUCGAUGGAUCCAGGUAGAGUGAUUAAUUCAUGUUCAUGUUCAUGUUCUUACUGAGUUCAGUGUUCUAACAUUGGCUCCUUAGUUUUUCAGCUUGGAGCGUUUUACCCUUUUGCAAGAGAUCAUUCGUCCAAAGGCACUGCUAGACAAGAACUAUACCUAUGGGAUUCGGUUGCUGCUUCCGCAAGAAAGGUUCUCGGCCUUCGUAUGAGACUCCUCCCACAUCUAUACACACUAAUGUACGAGGCUCACGUUAGUGGCGUCCCUAUAGCGCGGCCGCUCUUCUUCUCCUUCCCUAGAGACACUUACACCUAUGAGAUCAGCUCGCAGUUCUUGAUCGGUAAAAGCAUAAUGAUAUCUCCCGCGCUGGAAAAAGGGACAGUGUCCGUCGAUGCAUAUUUCCCCGCAGGGAACUGGUUCGACAUGUUUAACUAUUCGUUUGCCGUCGGUGGAAGUUCCGGCAAGCGUGUUAGUCUUGAUACUCCCGCCGAUCACGUCAAUGUUCAUGUUCGAGAAGGUAGUAAAUUUUAAGUAAUUUCCGGUUUGAUAAGGAACUUGAGAUUGAACCGAACUAACUAUUUGGACAGGUAGCAUUGUGGCUAUGCAAGGAGAAGCAAUGACGACAAGAGAAGCCAGAACGAAACCGUUUGAGCUUCUAGUUGUAGCCAGCAAGCUUGAGAACAUCUCGGGCCAACUGUUUCUCGAUGAUGGCGAAAACAUAAGGAUGGGAGAGGAAGGAGGGAACCGUGAUUGGACCCUGGUGAAGUUCCGGUGCUACGUAAACGGAAAAUCCGUGGUGCUGAGAUCAGAAGUGGUGAACCCGGAGUACGCGUCUAGGAUGAAAUGGAGCAUCGGGAAAGUGACGUUCGUUGGGUUUGAGAACGUGGAGAGCGUGAAAACAUACGAAGUUAGGACUGGGGAGAGGUUGAGGGGGCCAAGAAUCUCUCUUCUCAAGACUGUUGUGGACGAUGAUGAUCCCAAGUUUAUGAGUGUGGAGGUUUCUAGACUGGCGUUGCUUGUUGGGAAGAAGUUCGAGAUGCGAUUGAAAUUGACUUAAAGAAAAGGUAUCUAUUUUAUAAACCCAAUAAGAUGAUAAAUUUGUGGAUGCUUAAUAAUAAAUAAAAAGAGUAAAGAUUUCGCAACGUUAUUACAUCAAUCAAGUUCAUAAACAUUGGAGAAAAUUUUCAGACAAGAGGCUUCAGUUUGGUUCAUAGACACUGUAUUAAUAGCAGCGCAAGUCAAUCAAAGAGCUAAAGUAGUUACCUCUACGUCGCUUGCGAAUCCAACAUCAGAAAGAUCAUUCUCCAGAGCUUUCACCAGAGUUUCAAAGUGGGUUUUGGUUACACUGGUCAAAGUAGUUAGUUUUGUCCGAAAACCCUUGAAGUCUUGUUUUGGAGUGUCUUCAGGAUAUUGAAACACCUCUGAUUCCAACUCUACGCAUUUGUGGAGCCUCUCCAGACCAGACUCAGCCUCUCCUUGCAUAUACUCGAAAAACUGUCUCUUUUCCUGUUCAGAUUCAAGUAGAUAGUACCCGUAUGCAUAUGUCCAUUUCAGCACCCUUCUGCAUUCAAUGAUCUGAAGCCACGCAUCUGUGAUGAACCCGAGCUCAGUUUCUGGUAUGCAUUGUUUGUCACUAAGCUUCAUAACAUCCACUGAUAGGAACUUCUCUAGAUCCCCUAUAGCUUUUUGCCUCGACGUUUGAUUGCCUGCCCAGCGCUCAUAAUAAUGAGUGUAUUUCUCUAGCGAGUGCUUUGCCAUCUCUCGCUUCAUUUCAGCCUCAUCAUGCAGUCCUUGUCCCUUAGCCUUCGAAUACCGGUUGCAUGUAUAAGGCCCGCCAGUGCCUUCCCCGUGUUCCGACCAUGCGCCAAGGCAAAGCCAACAAAACUGAUGUCUGCAAGGUGGUGUGCAUGACAUGUGCAUGCAUCCACGGUUCUUUUCAAUUGGACGCUUACACUUGGGACAAGGCUUGGAAUUGUCGAGUAUCCACUUGGUAUUUUCAGCUUCAACGCUGUUCUUGCGUAUCCAUUGCGAAACCCUGUCACAAUCCACAGGACGGUGAGCGUCUUGGGUGCAAUUCCAGCAGAAGCUAUGCGAACACAAGCAUGAAACAUCGUAACUACUUCCGGUCCCGGUGGCAGAAAACUCAAUGGCAUGCUCACAUCCUGGGGCAGGACACCACUUGGUCUUUUUGUUUUCUUCCACAUAAGAUCUAAGAAAAUACCUAUCAUACUUGUCCUUGGCUUCAAAGGAAGCCAGUUUCUCGACCAUGUCUCGACCAACAGCAACUGGACAAGAUGGCUCAGGACAUUUUUGCAUCAAACAUCCCGGGCCAUCGUUGAUGGCUAUGCUGAUGUAACUUGUCCAGCAUGUAGAACAGAAAGCAUGACCACACAUAAUCGGUACAAUAUCUAUACGACAGAAGUAGUCAAAGCAUAUUCCACAAGCAACUUUUCCUCCUUCGGAAUAUGGAACAAUAACAGAUCCUCCUUCCAAGCCAGCACUUGUCCGAACUCUCCUCUCAUCCGCAAACCAUUCAUCAUUAACUUUACCAACAUUCCAGUGAUAGUGAAGAAGCAGAACACUAGCUUCGACCUUGCUUAGGGAGAGUAUCAUGGAAACUUGUGCAAUAUCACUCUCUUGUUGUCUACGUAUAUCUUCUUCCUUAAGAACGACAUAAUUCAUAUGGGAGCGAGGCGAGGAGAUCAUUGAGGAAUCGUCAUCGUCAUCCCCAAGGAAACCCGUGUCAUCUGUAUCAUCAUCAUGAUCGGCCCCGUCGUUGUAAUCACCUGCACCGUCGCUGUAAAGAUCUUCCUCUCCAGAUUCCAUAUAGUAGUCAUCGGAAUCCAUAAUCCUCUUCCCUUAGUCGCUACGGCAGACUAUGGUGUUGAUAGAUAUGCACAUAUACGUUUGUGUUAAAAAGAUAUUAUUCCAUAUUUUCCUAUGUUUUGUUUUACCUUUUGCAUAAUGAAUUUAGGAGGAGUCUCUUUGUAUUUACAAAUGUUCUAAGAUACAGUUGGUACAUCCGUAUAUACCGGUGUAUAUACAGUUGGUUUAGAUGGACACUUUUUUUUUUUGUCAACAGAUGAACACAAACAGAGCGUUUAUACAGUGUUUAUACAUAAACACCGUUUAUACCUUCACAAUUUAUAAGCUAUAUUUUAAAGGAAAUUUUAGUAAACAAUUAUAAUUUACCUGUUUGAUUCUUUUGAUUUCGUUUGAUCGUACCAGUUUAUGUUUUUUUUUCAAUAUUUCAUAAAUAGUUAUAACGUAUCAUUUAAAUUAUGUUUGCUAUAUAUAUUUUAUAUUUACAUAUAAUUUAUAUAAUUAUUUUAAUUAAUACUAUAAUAUUUAUUUAGAAUAUGACUAUCGUAUAUACUAUCUUAUCGUAUAUAUCCAAGUGCCAUACAGUAAUCAAUCAUCCGACUGGCGUAUAGCGUAUUUUAGAACAAUAGUAUUUACAUAUAUCUUUUUUUUCUUCUUUUGACAUAUUUUUUUUCUUUUAUUCUCUUUCUGUUAUUUUUAUUUUAGAUAACAUUCCAUAUUAAAAUAUUCUAAAAACUUCAAGAGAUUUCAUUACCUCUUUUAAUAUUCCAGCUAAUUAUUGUAAUAAUUUAAUAUAUGAAAUUUUAAUAUGUGAUAUUCUCUCGUUUUAAGGGAAUAAAAAUAUUUUAUCUUCUUAAUAAAAUAUUAAUAUUAUUUUAUAUAGUUUAUUAGCAUAUUUGACCUCAAUUGUUUUGCAUUCAUAUCACGAGUCUUUUGCAUUCGAUUAGUUUUAAAUUUUUAAUUGUCCUCGUUUAACCCAAAAAUUUUAAGAAUAUUUUUUUUGUCACACAUACACUUAAUUUUAAAAAUGUUAAAAUUUCUAAUUACCCUCGUUUAACCCAAAAAACGUUAAAACCACAAUUAAGCGUUUGGCUGCACGUCCCUAAGUUUGAUUUAUUCCUAAAUCCUACGUAGUCACGGAGUACUUUAUGUCACUUAAAGGUAUUAGCGCCGACUAGUUUCGGAUCAGGGAUGACUACGGGUUGCGGAAAGCUCAUAAGAGCGACUACGGACUGUGGAACAUUCUUGUUUAAAAAAAAAACGUUAAAACCACAUAAUUCUAGAUAUUAAUAAUCGCUUUAUAUAUCAAACCACGAGAGCAGACCAGCGGGUGAACUCCAGAAAAAAAAACAAACCAUUUCACUUUACUUUUCUUUUCAAAGUCUGUCUUGUCGAUUUAUCAAAGUCCGUCUUUCUCAAGGCUUCGAGACAGAUUCGUAACUUCUCAGUGUUUUUCCUCUUAAUCUUCGCACUAUUUGAUUUUCUUUUUGCCUCUAAACUCGACACGUGGACUAUCAUCCUCCACUUAGUUUUCAUCAAGUAGCUAUUAGCUCAGGGGUCCGCUUACGUUCUCAGAUCAACUCUCCGACGGUUGCAAAGGUGAUCGCUCAUUGCCUUUUCCAGUGAAGUAAUUAGCGAUUGGAUCAAAGCUACUUCAGUGACUAGCGACGAGAUCUAAGUAACUUAGGAUUGAUAAUAGUGUUCAAAGGAUGCAGACUAUCUCUAGGGUUCUACAAGAAGGUAAAGAGAACGGAAUCUUGGUUAGGACAGGACAGUAUAAGUCGUUUAGACCGAAACUGCUUCUUCUCCUAGGUCUUUUUCUUGCUGUUGUUGUCACUAUCUUCAUCAUUAGUGUCUCUACAAUCAACUCCACUGAACUACAAAGUGUAGUAACCACGGUUACUUCCACCUUUGUCCCAUGCCGUGAAGACGAACCGAACAGUUUAGGUAAAUGGAUACAACCUCCUACGGUUCUGAUGCACAACAUGACCGAUGAAGAGCUUCUUUGGCGUGCCUCUCUAUGGCCUCGGAGAAAAGGAUAUCCUUUUAAAAGGGUUCCAAAGAUUGCCUUUAUGUUCUUGACCAAAGGCCCCUUGCCACUUGCUUCGCUUUGGGAGAGGUUCUUGAAGGGUCACAAGGGGCUUUACUCUGUUUACGUUCAUCCGGAUCCGUCUUUUAAUGCCAAGUUUCCAGCUGAUUCUGUUUUCUACAAGAGGCAGAUACCGAGUCAGGUACGCUUCUUAUGAGUCUCUUUCGCUAUAGACGAUUUAAUAAAGAUUUCAAUAGUUGAGUUAUUCUGGGGCUGAAUGUUUCGUCCGGCUUGGUCCAGGACCUGCCUCUUGGGAUUACUAAUCACAUAUAUCAGAAAACGUAACUCUUGAAUCAGACUUGUGUCUUUAGUAGUAACUCUUGGUUAUGUAUUUGAUUUGGUUGUAACUUGAAUGUGUGUACAUCACUGAGCAGGUUGCAGAAUGGGGGAGAAUGACCAUGUGCGAUGCAGAGAAGCGGCUCCUCGCCAACGCGCUUCUCGAUAUCUCCAACGAAUGGUUUGUCCUAGUCUCAGAGUCGUGCAUCCCUCUCUACAACUUCACAACGAUCUACACCUACUUAAGCCAAUCAAAACACAGCUUCAUCGGUGCUGUUGACGACCCUGGACCCUUCGGUCGAGGCCGAUACAACGACAACAUGGAGCCUGAAGUUCCCAUCGCCAAAUGGCGAAAAGGGCCACAAUGGUUUGAGGUAGACCGGAACCUGGCAGCUACCAUUGUGAAAGACGCAUUGUAUCACCAGAAAUUCAGAGAGUUUUGUAGGCCUGCUUGCUAUUCAGACGAGCAUUAUUUCCCUACGAUGCUCACUAUUGAGAAACCGACGGCGUUGGCUAACCGGAGCGUGACGUGGACGGACUGGUCUAGAGGCGGGCCCCACCCGGCUACGUUUGGGAGGUCGGAUAUUACAGAGGAGUUCUUUGGAAAGAUCUUUGAUGGAGAGAACUGCAGUUACAAUGGUCGUAACACUUCCAUGUGUUAUCUUUUCGCGAGGAAGUUUGCUCCUAGUGCUUUAGAGCCGCUGCUCCACAUUGCUCCCAAGAUUAUGGGGUUUUGAGUUAGUACAGUAGUGUCUAUGAUACGGACAGGAUAUGGAUUAUAUGAGAUAUUUUGCGCCAAUAUCCAUUUUAUUUGUUUGUUUUAUACAAGUUUGGAAUAAACGAGGUAUUAUAACUGAGAACGUUGCACAACAGGAUCUUGUAACUUUAGACGUCAAAAGAAAAAACUAUGUAGCUCAAUUUUUUUGGUUCCUGACGUUAAGCCCGAUGCUUAAAUUAGAUAAGAAGCUAUAAGGUUAGGUUAUAAGUACUGAAAUACUACCUACAGCACAAGUGGCAAUGGGAACAUAACACGGACACAGGUGUAUAAACACAUUUUUAACACAUUCACUCUCUUUUCCUUUAUUUUCUUUUUGUUAUUUUUUGUUUUAGAUAAAAAUCCAUAUUAAAAUAUUCUAACAAGAUUUUAUUAAUUUUUAUAGAACACAAGAAAAUUUCAUUACCAUUUUUAAUAUUCUAACUAAUUAGUUUAAUCAUUUUAAUAUAUGGAAAUUUAAUUUGAGCUUAUUAAACAUUUUGUGGUUUUAAGGGAAUAUUUAUAUUUUAUUUAAUAAAUAUUAAUAUUAUAUAUAAAUGGUAAACAAUACUAAUAUAUUUUUCUUUUUGCACAGUUUUUUAAAGCUGAUAUUACAAUUAUAAAUCAUAUUAAAUAGAUGAUUUCACAACCGAUAAAUAAUGAGGAUUUUAUGUUUAAAUGCAUUAUUCCAACCGUCUUAUAAAAAUUUGACCAUGUUUAUUUGCACAAUGCUAAAAAAAAGUCUGCAAGGAUUCUCACCCAUAAUGUGUCUACUUGUUUAAUAAUCCGGAACUGGAAAAAGGGAGGUUACCCACUGUUCAGUAGCCUAUUUGACCUCAAUUGUUUUUGCAUUAACAUAUCGCCACGAGUCUUCUGCAUUCAUUAUUCGAUUACUUUUAGUUGCCCUCGUUUAACUCAUAAACUUUAUACUAAUGUUCAAAGGCUGCAGACUAUAGUGUUCAAAUUGAUACUUAAAGAUUGAUAUAGAGUCUCUCUAUAGCGUUCAAAGGAUGCGGUCUAUGGUUGUACAGUUGGAAGAAGGGAAAGAUAACGGAAUCUCGGUUAGGACAGAACAGUAUAAGUCAUUUAGACCGCAACUGCUUCUUGUCCUAGGUCUUUUUCUUGCUGGUGUUGUUACUAUCUUCAUCAUUAGUACAAACAAGUAUACUGGACUACAAAGUGUAGUAACCACAGUCACUUCUAGCUUUGUCCCACGCCGCGAGGAGGAGCCUGACGGUUUAAGUAAAUGGAUACAACCUCCUGGGGUUCUGAUGCAUAACAUGAGCGAUGAAGAGCUUCUUUGGCGAGCUUCUUUCUGGCCUCGGAGAAAAGGAUAUCCGUUUAAAAGGGUUCCAAAGAUUGCCUUUAUGUUCUUGACAAGAGGCCCCUUGCCUCUUGCUUCGCUUUGGGAGAGGUUUUUGAAAGGUCACAAGGGGCUUUACUCGGUUUACAUUCAUCCCCAUCCAUCUUAUACAGCCAAGUUUCCAGCUGAUUCUGUUUUCUACCAGAGGCAGAUACCAAGUCAGGUCCGUAAAUUUUUGUUAAUGCUUUUUUAACAAUAAAAUGUUCAAAUAGAUAAUGGCUUUGUAAUUAUUUUAAUUUGUAUUUAUUAAAAAUUAUUUAUAUUUUUUAAUAAUAUUUAAGUUUAAAUAUUUUUGCUACUAGUAACAAAUAUUUCUAGAUCCGCUAUUAAUAUCUAGAAAACAUCGUUGCGCAGCUUGCACAAUGGGGGAGAAUGAACAUGUGCGAGGCAGAGAGGCGGCUUCUCGCCAACGCCCUGCUAGAUAUCUCUAACGAAUGGUUUGUUCUAGUCUCAGAGUCAUGCAUCCCCCUCUUCAACUUCACAACAAUCUACACCUACUUAAGCCAAUCAAAACACAGCUUCAUGGAUGCUUUCGAUGACAAUGGACCCUUCGGUCGAGGCCGCUACAACGAGAACAUGGAACCUGAAGUUCCCAUUGCCAAAUGGAGAAAAGGGUCACAAUGGUUUGAGGUAGACCGGGACCUGGCAGCUACCAUUGUCAAAGACACAUUAUAUUACCCGAAAUUCAGAGAGAUUUGUAGGCCUGCUUGCUUUUCAGACGAGCAUUAUUUGCCUACGAUGUUGACUAUUGAGAAACCAAUGGCGUUGGCUAACCGGAGCAUGACGUGGACCGACUGGUCUAGAGGUGGCUCUCAUCCGGCUACGUUCGGGGAAUCAGACAUUACAGAGAACUUCUUUCAAAAGAUAUUUGAUGGUGUGAAUUGCACUUACAAUGGUCGUAACACUUCUAUGUGUUAUCUCUUUGCGAGGAAGUUUGCUCCUAGUGCUUUGGAGCCGUUGCUUCACAUUGCUCCCAAGAUUAUGGGGUUUUAGAGAUUUUACGCCAAUAUCAUUUUAUUUUGUUUGUUUUUAAUACAAGUUUGGAGGUUAAGCAUGAUGCUAAAGUCAGAUAAGAAACUAAAAGUUUGGUCAUAAAACCGUAUAGACAAUAGGACAAAGGCUGAUAAGGCAGGCUCUUGUCUCCAACUCAUCACCUUAUGUCUUAUGAUUCUUAGAAGUUAGUAGUAAUUUGUUAACCGACCAAGGUUUUGUUUGGUUUGAAUGUGAAUACUUAAUACUUGGCAAAAGUGGCAUUGUGGCAAUGGGACAGAACACAGCCAGGUGUAGACGCACUUUUACACCUACCGAACUUCUCGAACCCAUCAAGAGCCUUGCCAUUUGCCAACACUUCAACCAUCUGUCUUUCUCUUAAUAAAAAAAUAAUCCAAUGGGCAAAAUUCAUUGUUUAAAAGAUUUCAGCAGGCUAAUGUUUAUUUUAUUGGAAUGCAGAAAGGAUACGAUAAUGCGGAAUUUAUUUAUUCGUUAUUGUUUACCACGUAUAACCUAUGGUUUAUUUAGAAUAGAGAGAAAUUCAAGAAAGGGUUCACAGCUGUGAGUACCGCCACCUAGGUAAACCGGGGCGUCUAGCUCUGGUGGUAAAGGGUUCACAGCUGUGAGUACCGCCACCUAGGUUCGAUUCCCGGCCACUGCGAAAUUUAACAUUCGGGCCGCAGCGACACAGAUUAGUCCCUUGGGCCUGGGAAGCCUUUGGGGAAACUGUGUAUAAUUCAAAAAAAAAAAAAAAGAGAAUCCACCAACUUAUCGAAAGCUAAUGAAGAAAGUAGUUUUUGUCUUUCUUCAAAACGAUGUUCACCACACACAAAAAGGAAGGAUAAAUGUUCCAUCUAUACAACUAAUCUUUAGCAUUUUAUUCAAAAGGUAGACAAAUCAAAACGUAUACAUUUUAAAUGCGGUUUUACUUUGAACAAAAAUGGUAAUUGCGGAAGAUUCGUUAUUAACAUCCUAAUCACAAAAAUAGAAAAUCAACAUUGCUUGGAGAAAUUAAGGACCGCCUAUUCUUCUAGACAUAUCUUCUACGUAAUUAAAAUGCUCUUUAGCACUAAACCGUGUUACAAUGUGAUUCCCACUCUCUCCAAACAAAUACAAGUCUGCACAUCUCGCCCGUUUCUUUCACGGUACCGCGUGACUUUGAAAAAAAAAAUGGACAGCGCAUCAUUAUUUUCACGCGCCAAACCAUCACAUUUCUCACCGACCGUUGUGCCUUUUAUCAAGGCUGAAGAGUUAGAUGCACGCGCCUCGGUGAGCGUUUAAAACACGGCACAUAUGUUAAAAACGGCGCCGUAACAGAGAGACGAUGACCUGUCGAAAUCUCAGUAAAAGAAUAUGGACCGUUGAUUGUCAUGAUUCGCGGGACCCGCAGGUGGACCAGCUGUAAUUGCAAGGAUUUCUAAUGCUGGAAAGUCCGGUUACCUAAACCCAGCUAAACCGGAUAUGCUCAACCUCUUUAUAAACGCCUCACCACAUUGCUAAUUUCACCAAAAAACCUUCAGAGCUUUAAAACAUUUCGAAUCAACAAAAACCCUAGCCUCCUCCUUUUCUUGCUCUCUCUCUCUCUACAAAUCUCUGAAAUGGCGAUCUCAAAGGCCUCCGUUGUUGCUCUCGUCGCGGUGAUCGUCUCCGUCGUUGCUACCGUCGCUUCAGCUCAGUCUGAGUCUCCGGCGCCAAGCCCCACUUCUGGAUCUGGUGCCUUCUCGCCGUCCAUCGUGUCAGCUGGCGUUGCAGCCGUCGCGGCUCUUGUGUUCGGCUCUGCUCUUCGGAUCUAAGUCUUUGUGAUGGCGAUUCGUACAGAGAUAUUGUUUUGAAAAUUUUUAUAGCAUUAUUGAUGAUAUUGGUGUGUAUUCUUGAGCUAUAGAUCUCUUUCUAUUGUGUCUUUGUUACCACUUUGCGAUAUUGUUUUUGAUUAUGAUAUGAUUCUAUUCUAUUUAUGGAUGUUUCUCAGAUGUUUCUUCGCCUUCUUCGCUUAAAUCGUUAUACGAGCUUGUUUUACAAAUCACAUGAUCGAAACUUUGCUAGAAAUUUGAUUAUAAUCUGAAGAUAAUUGUGAUUGUUACUUGGAUUAAUUUGAACUGAGUUAUAUUUUGGUCGAAAUUGAAUAAGAAUAUGAUCUAAGCUAAAAUUAAAAAAAAAAAAAAUAUAUAUAUAUAUAUAUAUAUAUUUUUUUUUUAAUCUGAAAACAUAAAUACAAGAACUAAAAAUGGAGUUAAUUCAUAAACCAUGUGAUACGAAAAUCAAUACACACUACGGGUAAAUGAUUUAAGAUUGUAACGCUCCAAUGUGCAAUGGAUUGGUGCAUGGUUCAGUUUUGCUUCGAGAUAAUAACAUCCGGUUUUUAAAAUUCCAUGUAGUUUCGGAAUUAGUCAGAACUACAGUCUACAGUGCUCAUAUAGUGAUAUGAAUCCGACAUUGUUUUGAAAUUUUGCGGAAUUUUGCGUGUAAAAUCAAUAUGAAGAAUGAGACUUUAGGCUACAUAAACGUGUUCUUUUGUUCUCAUUACAAGACAAGACAGCAAAAGAAACCGUUAUUAACGGAUUCAACGCUUCCUUAAUGGAAUCGAGAAAAAAAAUAGUUUGGGGAUUUAUUUGUUGAUAGGAAAAGUUGAAGACUUUUUUCUUUGAAGAAAAUUCAAGCAUUUUUUCCAGACGGUGAAGAAUAAUCAACUGUUGAUUAGUUGUACAUUUAGCAUUUGGAUGUGAUGAAGGAAAACUAUAACGCGUUGGAAUUACUAAUUAAUGUGAUUUGAUCAAUCUAGGUUCUAUAAUUAGUUAAUUACCUUAAACAAAUCAGCCAGGGCACAAAAAUUUACAAAUGAAUAGAGGAAAAAGUAGAGGGGUCAAUUAACGUAAAACAUAAAACAUCAGGGGUUUAUAUGCAAAUUACUAAUAAAGAAAAAGAACCCUGGAGGAGAUUGGCGAGGGUUUUAGUAGCUUCUCGCAUUUUUGGCUCAAACUCCGCGUCAAACUUCAAAACCAACAGAUUCGGAUACUCCGAGGUCAUUAGAUCGAAUCCUCUUUGCGGAGAAGAUGCAAUCGAUUCGUAGCGGCACAAGGCUGCUCCAGAGGAACCGUUUCUCAAUCUCCAACACUCUUCGUUUCACUUCGUCUUCUCCCGCAAGCUUGUCCGAGAAUGAAUCGAGGAGGCUAGGAGGAGGGUUUGAUUCAUUCCGUUCCACCAGAGCUUUCGAUUCGCCAGCGACGUAUCUCAUCAGCUCGUUGACAAAGGCUGUUUCUUUCUCUUCCGCACUACCUGUAAGCAAGCCACUUCUCUCAUUUCAGCUAAUCAUGGUGUAUUGAUAUUGUUAUCGGUUUGUAGAAAUGUGGAGGAUGAUUAGUUGGCAAUAGAGAUCUAAUUACCAAAUGGGUUGUGUAAAAGGAAGAAACUUUGCUCAGAUUUCGUCUUCCUUCCACAUUUGAAUUUAGCUCAGAGUGUUUGUGUGUGGGUACUUUUGAUCUUUAGCUCAAAAUUGAAUGCUUCAUUGUCCUAAGCAUCAUCAAUUUUUGUUUAUUUCCUUAAGUUAUUUGCUGAGCCUAUCUCGUUUGGUAGUUAAAGGUUACAGUUUCGUGCUGUUGUUUUUUCAAAGUUUUAUGCUUUCACAAAUUGUUCUGCUUUAUAGCUUUCCUGGAUGUUUGGGUCACAGACUCUAGGACAGUGCAUUUAGUUUAGGCUUCUUUGUGUUUGAGACCUUCUCUGACUUUUAAUGGGGGUUGGGAAAAUGUUUGGCAGAAACAAAACUUUACGUAUUCGUCGAGGUGCUUUUCCACCGUUGGAGAUUCUGCUCAGUCUGCUCCUCAAGGAUUCCCUGGGUCAGCUCCUGAUGCGCCUCCAAGAAUCAAGUUCAAGCGGCUUGAUAAAACCGCCAAGCAUAUAAUGCAGGUACAACUCCUACUUUGACGAUUGGUUGUGGAUUAAUACAUCACUGUCACGUUUACAAAAGUCACAAUCUUGUGCAGAUUGUAGACAAGGAGGCAGUUGAGGAAGUGAGAACUCGUAGAGAGAUACCGGAGAUAAGGCCCGGUUACAUUGUGCAGCUCAAAGUGGUAACUACUUUUGAACUCGUACCAGAUUGUCUUUUCUUUUUCUUCGAGAAUGAGAUCAAAAUAUCGUAUAACUUGGGAAGAUUAAUACUUUCAUAGGCUUCAUUGCAUUUAACUUUGUUUGAAACAGGAAGUGCCUGAGAACAAGAGGCGUGUUUCAAUCGUAAAAGGCAUUGUCAUAGCAAGGCGUAAUGCUGGUCUUAACUCUACGUUUAGGAUUAGAAGGCUCGUGGCUGGAGUGGGAGUCGAAUCCAUGUUCCCCUUGUAAGUAUUUUAACCUCUUGACCUCUCUCCUAAAGGCAAAGAUGAAUGUACAUUUUUAGAGCCUCAUAUAGCAUGCGCAAAAGGCUCAUUUGUAUUAGGAAAAGCUAGUGAUAUGUGAGUGUGGGUGUUUGUUGAUGACAGGUAUUCUCCAAACCUGAGGGAGAUUAAGGUGUUGGACAAGAAGAGAGUAAGAAGAGCGAAACUUUAUUACCUCAGAGACAAGAUGAACGCUCUCAAGAAGCAUUAGCUCCCGUAAUCAUCAUUCAGAAAAGAGUACUCUACGCUCAUAAACAAAAUCUUGAGUGUUUUUCUUUUAUGACGACUCUGCUUUGAGUCAACAUAUUGGACUAUGUAAUGUUAUUGAAUAAUGAUGGAACCCUUCAGGCUAUUUUUUUUUCUACAUGUUCCAAUAAAUUGAGCUUCAUUAUGAGUAAUCUAUAUCCAUCUUCAAAAGAAGGUGACAAAGUUCAUUAUGCUCUUAACUGUCAAAGCAACAAAGUUAGGCUCAAAAAGCUGUUGUGUGGUUGGAGAUAAACUGCGAUUGUAUCCCAAAUGAAUCAACAACCGCACUUUACAAGCACAAACGUAGAUAUUUGCGUUUGAAACAACUCAAGGGAAUAGUAAGGUAUCUGGUAGUGUACUAAUAUAUCUAUUUCUUCUUAUUUUUGCUUCUGUCAUUCUUCUUCUUCUCGUUGUUCUUGUGCUUGUCAUUCUCAUUCCUCCCUUGUGUCUCCUUGUCAUUCUCACUCUUAUUCUUACUCUUCCCCGGAAGCUCCAUCGGAGCAGGAUCCGUCUCUGAACCUGAAACAACCAACAAGAUGAAGAAUAAGACUUGUGAAAAAGAAAGAUAUACAAUACGCCUAAGAACAAGAAAGUGAACGACCUUUCAAGUAAAUGGAGUUGUAAUGUACCCCAACCAAAUGGCUCAAGUAAACAACUCUCUCGAGUGUCAAAGACUUAGGAACAAUCUCCAUGGAAGGUACUUCUUUCUCUGACGUAAUGACUACUAUCUUCACCCCAAACUGCAUAAUCGCGAAUACUUGUUCAUUAAGCUAAAACAAGCGAAAGAAUAAAAGAAAUCAAAGUAAAGAGAUUAUUAUAAAGAAGUUAACCGUAUCAGCAGCAGCCUGCAACGUAACGUUAUCACCCCACACGCCGUUCUUGGACAUGUUCUUGACAUACUCGGAGUAGUCCUUGGGAAGAUCGUUUGCUCUUUUUUUACUCGAGUCCAUCUCAACAAACUCUCUAUAAAUUUUUGGACAAGUUUUAAGCUGAAAUAAUUCAUAUAACAACAUGAGAGUCAGUCCAUGUUAACAAAUCAUAUAACCUCAUGAGAGUCAUAUACCUGUUUAACUAUUCUUUCUCGAACUUUCUCAUGAUACUCGGGGCACCUGAAGAGCUGAUCAGCUAAAGAGCUAAACUGUAACAUAAUAAUUAACAAACACUAAUGAUGUGAUAAAGGAGGGGGUUUAGAAAACAUUAAUUAAUUAGUAUUAUUACCUGGCAGUUUCCAUCACUUUUAAUCUUCGUCUCGAUGAAACCUUCCCACUCUAACCUAAAAAAUCCGGAAGAGUAAUCAGUUAAAACACUGAUGAUUAAACAAGAUUUGAAAAGAAUAAUCCAUCGUUAGUUCGUUUACCUUGACUCGAGUCUUUUCUUGUGCUCGUUAGACAUUGCUUACGUCUUUUCUCGGCGACGAUCGGUUACUGAUUGGGUGAUGGUUAACAAUAUACUGUGUCGCUUGAGCGGCCGAUUGGUAUUUAUAGAUUUUCUAUAUUAUGAGAAAAAGAUGGGCUUUUUCAAUUUUGUAUGGUUAGGGUUGUUAUGGGCCUACCGUUAACGGCCCAAUUAAUCAGAAGAAUCUUUAGGCCCACUGGCUCGUCUAUGCAUAAAUAAAUUACACACACAUGCGAAUAAUUUAACAAGAGUCGGAAGAAUCUUAGCUGAUAAACUGAUAGAUAUAACAAAAAGAACUCUCAGACAACAUAAUCUUAUGUUUAUUCAAGUUUUCCACAAAAAACUUAGAAGUGUACUUGGUAUCUCCAUCACAAGAAACAUUGCAUUGAAACGUCCACGUUUUAUUGGACCCAAGCCUUUGGUAACAAUCGGCUGAAAGCGAAAACUCGCUUUGGCAUUGGUAAGGAGGGUUUUUGAUCACUUGUUCCACCAGUGCAAGAAAUCCUUGCGCCUGUUGAUUUUCUUCUGAAGCUGGAGGAGUCCAUAGAGCAAUGCCUCAGCGGUUGGAGGGCAUCCAGGGACGUAGAUGUCCACUGGGACAAUUCUGUCGCACCCUCGAACCACUGAGUAGGAGUAGUGGUAGUAUCCACCUCCGUUGGCGCAGCUUCCCAUUGAAAUCACCCACCUUGGCUCCGGCAUCUGGUCAUAAACCCUGUCUCAUUGUUUCCAGAUAUUAGAAACAAGGAACUUCUUUCAAACAUGAUACACAAGAACAGCAGCUUUAAAAAACAUCCACAUAGACUACGCCAAUUCUGCCAGAUCCAAGACUGAUUUGAAUAGAGCGUUAUGAACAUAUCUCUAAAUACCAGUUCGAUCACUGAUAGGUUACUCAACAUGAUGACUGAUCUAGUGAAAAUGCAUAUAAUUUUGCUCGUCUAAGUGGUAGAUGUUUUGAGGUUGACUUGGGACAUUUUCUAAUGAACCUUUAAAUUAUCAGAGAUGAUCCACAUAUACACUUCCCUCAAUACUACCAGACAAAAAAGGCAAUUCGAAGAGACGAGUUCAGAACCUAUCUCUAAACACUGAUAGUUUCUUCAGCACAAGAACUAACAUAUACCAAUUCAUAAAAAGCAGUCAAAUAAUCUCUCAGAUGCAACUAAUAUUUGCUCGGCUCAGUGGUUGAAAUCGCCACAAUGUAAUAGCCACAAGGUGGUUACUUGUGGCUAUUACAUUGACUUGCGAUAUUUUCUAUAUCUACAUGUUUGGGCAUAAAGACAUCAUUGAGCUCAGCUUCCUAAACAAAAACCUUACGCAUACAAUUUUUAAGAAACAUGAUUCUCGGCAAAAAAAAAACAAAGAUAUGCAGUUGAAUGAAGGGUUCAUAACAUCAAACAAGAGAGAUAGGAAUCGAAUCAAGUCCCUCAUGUGUCAAUUUUCCAUUAACAAUACAACUCGUAAUAAAAUGGACAUCAGGUCUCAAAGACAACCAAGCAAAAUCAUCAAACAAGCACGAUUUUAAACAGUCAGCAAAAAAGGAACAACAAAACCUAAUUACAAUGAUGGCUGAGACGACACUAACACAUUUUUCCCAAAGCUAGAGAAUAUGAAACCCUUAUCUCCCCACCACAAAAGACGAGCACAGAGGUUACACUGAUAUAGCUACUCUUCAUCUCUGUAUACUAGAUUUCACCUAAGUUAAUGAAUUUCAAACCAAAAUUUCUCAAGAACUCUGCGCUAGACAAUGAAUAUGAACGAUAUGGCUUCCCAGGUCAGUCAUAUAUUCAUACAGAAACUCUCAAUUUGACAGGGACCAAGCAACACAAUCAGAAUAUAUGAAACCUACAUCGCCGGGAAAGAGAUAACUCCAACAAUCACAAUCAUAAUCUCCUGAAAACGUAAUUCUACUCUCAGUGAUAUCCGAGAUCCAUAGGAAAGGGAGAGAGAGAGAAGUAGAGAGGCGUACUUGCGAAGAGCAGGAGCCAUCUUGUUAGUAAGCGUCCCGGCGACAAUCAUACAAUCCGAUUGACGAGGACUAGGCCUAAAGAUGAUACCGAAUCGAUCCAGAUCGUAGCGAGCAGCACCGGUAUGCAUCAUUUCCACGGCGCAGCACGCGAGGCCGAAGGUCAUGGGCCAGAUCGAUCCCCUGCGAGCCCAGUUCAUGAGGUCAUCGACCUUCGAGAUCACGAACUCCGCCGUCUUCGAGAGACCCGGCGGAGGAGGGGAGGGGUAGGGNNNNNNNNNNNNNNNNNNNNNNNNNNNNNNNNNNNNNNNNNNNNNNNNNNNNNNNNNNNNNNNNNNNNNNNNNNNNNNNNNNNNNNNNNNNNNNNNNNNNNNNNNNNNNNNNNNNNNNNNNNNNNNNNNNNNNNNNNNNNNNNNNNNNNNNNNNNNNNNNNNNNNNNNNNNNNNNNNNNNNNNNNNNNNNNNNNNNNNNNNNNNNNNNNNNNNNNNNNNNNNNNNNNNNNNNNNNNNNNNNNNNNNNNNNNNNNNNNNNNNNNNNNNNNNNNNNNNNNNNNNNNNNNNNNNNNNNNNNNNNNNNNNNNNNNNNNNNNNNNNNNNNNNNNNNNNNNNNNNNNNNNNNNNNNNNNNNNNNNNNNNNNNNNNNNNNNNNNNNNNNNNNNNNNNNNNNNNNNNNNNNNNNNNNNNNNNNNNNNNNNNNNNNNNNNNNNNNNNNNNNNNNNNNNNNNNNNNNNNNNNNNNNNNNNNNNNNNNNNNNNNNNNNNNNNNNNNNNNNNNNNNNNNNNNNNNNNNNNNNNNNNNNNNNNNNNNNNNNNNNNNNNNNNNNNNNNNNNNNNNNNNNNNNNNNNNNNNNNNNNNNNNNNNNNNNNNNNNNNNNNNNNNNNNNNNNNNNNNNNNNNNNNNNNNNNNNNNNNNNNNNNNNNNNNNNNNNNNNNNNNNNNNNNNNNNNNNNNNNNNNNNNNNNNNNNNNNNNNNNNNNNNNNNNNNNNNNNNNNNNNNNNNNNNNNNNNNNNNNNNNNNNNNNNNNNNNNNNNNNNNNNNNNNNNNNNNNNNNNNNNNNNNNNNNNNNNNNNNNNNNNNNNNNNNNNNNNNNNNNNNNNNNNNNNNNNNNNNNNNNNNNNNNNNNNNNNNNNNNNNNNNNNNNNNNNNNNNNNNNNNNNNNNNNNNNNNNNNNNNNNNNNNNNNNNNNNNNNNNNNNNNNNNNNNNNNNNNNNNNNNNNNNNNNNNNNNNNNNNNNNNNNNNNNNNNNNNNNNGAAAUUUAACAUUCGGGCCGCAGCGACACAGAUUAGUCCCUUGGGCCUGGGAAGCCUUUGGGGAAACUGUGUAUAAUUCAAAAAAAAAAAAAAAGAGAAUCCACCAACUUAUCGAAAGCUAAUGAAGAAAGUAGUUUUUGUCUUUCUUCAAAACGAUGUUCACCACACACAAAAAGGAAGGAUAAAUGUUCCAUCUAUACAACUAAUCUUUAGCAUUUUAUUCAAAAGGUAGACAAAUCAAAACGUAUACAUUUUAAAUGCGGUUUUACUUUGAACAAAAAUGGUAAUUGCGGAAGAUUCGUUAUUAACAUCCUAAUCACAAAAAUAGAAAAUCAACAUUGCUUGGAGAAAUUAAGGACCGCCUAUUCUUCUAGACAUAUCUUCUACGUAAUUAAAAUGCUCUUUAGCACUAAACCGUGUUACAAUGUGAUUCCCACUCUCUCCAAACAAAUACAAGUCUGCACAUCUCGCCCGUUUCUUUCACGGUACCGCGUGACUUUGAAAAAAAAAAUGGACAGCGCAUCAUUAUUUUCACGCGCCAAACCAUCACAUUUCUCACCGACCGUUGUGCCUUUUAUCAAGGCUGAAGAGUUAGAUGCACGCGCCUCGGUGAGCGUUUAAAACACGGCACAUAUGUUAAAAACGGCGCCGUAACAGAGAGACGAUGACCUGUCGAAAUCUCAGUAAAAGAAUAUGGACCGUUGAUUGUCAUGAUUCGCGGGACCCGCAGGUGGACCAGCUGUAAUUGCAAGGAUUUCUAAUGCUGGAAAGUCCGGUUACCUAAACCCAGCUAAACCGGAUAUGCUCAACCUCUUUAUAAACGCCUCACCACAUUGCUAAUUUCACCAAAAAACCUUCAGAGCUUUAAAACAUUUCGAAUCAACAAAAACCCUAGCCUCCUCCUUUUCUUGCUCUCUCUCUCUCUACAAAUCUCUGAAAUGGCGAUCUCAAAGGCCUCCGUUGUUGCUCUCGUCGCGGUGAUCGUCUCCGUCGUUGCUACCGUCGCUUCAGCUCAGUCUGAGUCUCCGGCGCCAAGCCCCACUUCUGGAUCUGGUGCCUUCUCGCCGUCCAUCGUGUCAGGAGGCGUUGCAGCCGUCGCGGCUCUUGUGUUCGGCUCUGCUCUUCGGAUCUAAGUCUUUGUGAUGGCGAUUCGUACAGAGAUAUUGUUUUGAAAAUUUUUAUAGCAUUAUUGAUGAUAUUGGUGUGUAUUCUUGAGCUAUAGAUCUCUUUCUAUUGUGUCUUUGUUACCACUUUGCGAUAUUGUUUUUGAUUAUGAUAUGAUUCUAUUCUAUUUAUGGAUGUUUCUCAGAUGUUUCUUCGCCUUCUUCGCUUAAAUCGUUAUACGAGCUUGUUUUACAAAUCACAUGAUCGAAACUUUGCUAGAAAUUUGAUUAUAAUCUGAAGAUAAUUGUGAUUGUUACUUGGAUUAAUUUGAACUGAGUUAUAUUUUGGUCGAA